rnacentral:lncRNA from 1 species
AAGUCUAAGUUGUUAAUGGAUACGAUAUGGGAAGGUUGAGCUGCUGUUUAUCUGUUCAUAGAGAUGCUAGAAUUCUGGAGAAUUUUAUCUUUGAAAAUCUUUAAAAUAUUGCAUGAUGAGUUCCUGUAUGAUGAGAGUUUAAAUUCCUACCACAGCCAUAUAUACAUGCUUGCUAGACUUGGAGCCACAUAUUUACUAUUUAGUGCUUAUGAGCAUUGAGUGUGGUCAAGUUGUGUAGACCCUUAGGAGCUUGUCAUGUGGUUAAAUCAAGAUUCACUUGCACGUUCACUCAUAUAUGCUACUUCUACUCCGGAAGUACCAUCCACAUAUAUCCACCCAUUCCAUCUCCAGAAUCACCCAAAAAAAUAUUCUACUCCUAAUCCAGGAGAGAAUAACCAAAAAUAUUUCUGUUUUCCCAUGUGAAAUAAAUGCUCAAGUUAUCUUGUUACUACCACUUGCUAUAUUAUCUCAAGAGAUGAGUGCUCUAAAAAAAAGAAGAAAAAGAGAAAAGAUACGAGGAAAUAAAAAGGGCCAAGUGCCCGGAACCUCGAAAGAAAAGAAAAAGUGAGACGAGAGGUAAAAAUGGACAAGUGUCCGACAGUAGAAUUAGGGGUACAAGAUACCCACCUGAGAGAAAAGAAAAAGAAGAGCAUCUCAUUCUCCUCAUAAAGUUUCAAUAAGCAAGGAAGGUAUGAAUCCCCUUAAAGAGCAAAAGUAGAAUUAGACUUUCACCAUUGCUAUCACCAUCAUCACCAUAUACCAUUCAUUUGCCACACAUGCACAUCUUGAUUUGACUGAUUGAUUUGUUUCUUUGGAUCCAUGGUUUGACUAUACAAUAAAUUUCUUGUGAGUAUGUAUACUUUAUCUCCCACCUAUGAGCUCCAGAUAUUAAAGCCUUAUUAGAGUAGGGUGAGAGAGAAGGCAAUGUCACUAUGCUUUAUACCACAUAUACUACAUAUUUUGAGAGAAGACAUAUACCAUCACUGCCUUGGUAAGGAUCCAGAAAUACUACAAAAGAGAGAUUUGAGAGAGUCAUACAAGGAAUCUCUGAGUUUUAUUUCAAAAUCUGCAAAAACUCCAAAGCUAUAGCUGAUCAAGAAUAAGAAAUAUGGCACUUGACUAGACUGUUCUAUCUUUUAACUACUCAAGACAGAAGUGACGGUUACAAGUCCCAUGGUAAAAGGUAAAGUAAGUAAGUUUUAAGUCUUGACAGUUUACUCUAACUCAGAGAUGAGAUCUUAUUUAAAAGGCAUGUGUACCGUCAAUUUUUAAGAUAUUGCAGCAACUUCUAAUUUAUCCUUGCUCAGGGACGAGCAAGAGGUAAGCUUGGGGGAGUUUGUUGACAGUCCUUAAGUAUCAAAUUUAAUUAUCAAAUAAACAAAGAAAAGGAUCCAAAUGAAAUCAAUAUCUAGAAUUAGGGUUUUAUCUGACAGAAUUCCACGUGUUUUGGUGUUUGUCUAUUUCUGCAGGGGGUUAUCAGGAAAUACGGAAGAAAGGCCCACACGUCGGGAUUACAUAGAGAUAUUAACGUGCCGUGCAAUUAUCUUACAUCUAGAAGACUCCAGAAGCCACGGGAAGGAAGCGGAGGCCGAAUGGGGUCAGGCACUGGGCGCCCGCCCAGUUGCCCUGGGCGCCCGCCCUCCUGCUGAGUCCAAUCAGGACUCUAUUUUGGGGGAGAUCUCCAUCGACCUAAAGGAUCAAGGAUAACCAUUCAAUCAAUGUCGGGUUGAUCCAACGGCCCAUAUUCACUUGAAGGGACUAUAAAACCAGACCCCCUAGUCCCUGGAGGAGAGAGCCUCUCAAACCUAAUUCAUUAUUCAGAAGGGAGAGGAAGCCUCUGAUCAAGAUUAGAGCCACCACAUCAAUUAGACAUCUAGAUUAGCAUAGCUACAUAGGAUUAGAACUAGAAAGAGUCAAUCUUCGAUUGGUUUCCGGAUAUGUCAAGAGGAUUCUUGGUAAUUCUCUAAUUGUGCUUCUAAUUGUUCUUCUAAUCAUCUUUGUUCUUCAAUAUUAUGAAUAUGACUUUGUUCUACUUCAAUAUAUUGCUUAUGACUUUGCUCUACUUGCUUAUAUUCAAGAUUAUAUUGUUCUUAGUUUAUCAUAGUUAUGUACUUGGCUUAGUUAGAUUGGAUCUAUAUACAUGCUUAGGAUCGUAUAGCGUUUAUCCAUCGGAUCCAUGGGUAAAUGAUAGAUAUUGUGUAGGCGUGGUGCUUGUUGACGGUCCUUAAGUAUCAAAUUUAAUUAUCAAACAAACAAAGAAAAGGAUCCAAAUGAAAUCAAUAUCUAGACUUACGGUUUUAUCUGACAGAAUUCCACGAGUUUUGGUGUUUGUCUAUUUCUGUAGGGGUUAUCAGGAAAUAAGGAAGAAAGGCCCACAUGUCAGGAUUACAUAGAGAUAUCAACGCACCGCGCAAUUUUCUACCAUCUAGAAGACUCCAGAAGCCACGAGACCGAAGCGGAGGCGAAACGGGGCCAGGACCUGGGCGCCCGCCCACCUGUUGAGCCCAAUCAGGACUUUUUCUCUCGGGAGACCUCCACCGACCUAUUGGAUUCAGAAUAACGUAGUACCACAUCGCCUACCGACCCAAAAACACAUAGAAGGGGAGGACUAUAUAAGGAGACCCCCCUGGCUCCUGGAGAAGACAAGAAAUUAUCAUAGAGAUUGAGGGGUGCCCUCGAAGGAAAACCUCUUCUCUAAAUAAUAUUUCUUUUUAGGCUUAGCAACCAAUGUAAAGUAGAAAUAGAUCUUCUAGUUUCUACUAGAUUGAGAGAGAUAGAGUGGAGGUGUGGAUCGGAGGAAGGCCGGCCUGUCGGUGUCUACUCCGAGUUGUACCUACGGGAUCAAGUCUCCUAACCCGAGGCUUGCUUCUAAGAUUCUUCAGUAAUUCGACUUCUAAUUCUAGUAAGUUCUUGUUUUGUUGUUCUUUGGUUUAUGAGUUUACUUUAAUCCUCUUCUGGUUGAGUAUUAGAGUAAUCACUUGCUAGCGUAAACGUGGUGUUUAGGCUAGGGUACUCAUAGAUAUCCCCUGACUAGCUGGACCGUGGUAGUAGCGAGGAACGUGACAUUUCCGAGUUACCUUUGUAUCCCAUAUCUUGUUAGCAGGACGGGUAGGUUUAUAGGUGCGGGUCGAACAUUCUUUGUGUUGUCUAGAUUCCGUGAGCAUCCCCAAUAGAACAGUAGAUCAUCCUUACCAAGGUUAGAACGAGACUACGGUUGCAGUCUUCUCUAUACAUCACUCACAUCGAGAGACAUUCUUUGUAGCCUAAAGGGAUAGUAGCAAUAGAUUUGGUUAGUCAAAUGCACCCUUUCUCCCAGUGGUAAAAAUAUAAAUACGAUACUCUGGAAAACCUCCCGGGUGAAAUGCUCACCGAUAUCCAUGCGCUUGCGGAUCAUUUUCUAAUUGCGUUACCAAAUAUCAACAGUGCUUAUACCGUAUUUAUCUGCGAUUGUACCCAAUAUGCCAGAUCAUGGGGUAGUUCGUGAUAGUGACAGUUUCAUUGAUUCUUAUAUAGUCCCCCUCUCGUGUAUUGGGCUGGCAGAGCAAUAUUAUUACAGGGGAGUGAUUGCUAUGUUUCUCAUUUACCUUGCUAAUAUCACUAUGCAUGGGCGUAGUCUUGUCUCGCAAUGAUUGCUAAGUAUGCUUGCACUAACUAUGAUAAUGCUAGACUAUAUAGUUGAGAAUAACUUAGGAAAUAUUCUUGUAGUUCGUUCUAAUUCCAUGCUAAUGACUUUUUAGAGUAUCUAAUUGAGGUGCUUAUCAUAUUUAUAUGUGGCUAGGUUAUGAUCAGAUUAAUUAUCUUUGUCACUAUUCAUUACCUUAUAUAUCCUUUAUGUGACACUUAUCCCUAUAUGAAAGAGUUAGAUAAAUGUUCUCAAUUAUAUCUACAAUGAUAGAUACUCAAUCUCAUAUUUUAUUCUGUAAUCAAUAUUGAUGAUUGCUAAUCCCUUCCCAGUGGUAAAAAUAUAAAUAACGAUACCUGGAAUACUUCCCGGUUAAAAUGCUACAUCGGUAUUAAUCUGUGCGCUUGCAGAUCCCAUUCAUUAUUUAUUUAGAAGAGCAAUUGCAUAUUUCAAUACCGCGUCUCUCAUGUCAUGCUAGGGAUGACAACUUGGCUUAAGUGGUGCGAGGGAUAGGUUUGGCAUUUUUGGCACCGUUACUAGAAUUAGAAAACUAAGUCUACUUUUGGUAAUGAUGUUAAGAAUACCCAACACCGAUCAGAGGAAGGAUGUCAGUUCAUCAUCGGCUAGGGGGGCAGGCUCAGUGUGCAUGACAGGCUUGGUGAACGUGUCGGCCAUUUUCCAAGAAACCAAGAGGAGCUUGAAGAGAUGGCAAAUGCACGGGUUCCCGAUGAAUUUAUUUUCUUUAGGGAUGCUAAUACCCAUCGGGUGAAAUCAAGAGAAAUUCGCUAUCAGCCAGUGCAUAGGACACAGCUUCCCCAAUGGUGACCACAAGGAUUGACAAGGAUGCAAAAAAGGAGGAUGCAGCGAAAACGACAAGAAGAAUUGAAUAGGGAAGUAAAUUCUUCUAAGUUUGAGAAUCGGCAGCACUCGGAUCACAAGGGAAAAGGACCAUCGGCAGAUGUUAACAUGGUAUUUGUGUUGCUGAUGGAGUUUCUUGCACCCUUUAGUGAUGAUGAAGAAGUAAAUCUCCCUGGCCAGAUAGCUCAACUAGCGCUUGAUCCAAUGACAGCCAUGUUUGAGAAACAUUCUGAUAAUGAAAGACAGCAUCUUAAAGCUUUUUUUGUUAAAGGCUGGGUUGAUGGACAGCCGAUGUCCAUGAUACUCAUUGAUGGUGGAGCUGCUAUCAACAUUAUGCCAUACACAGUUUAUCGGAAGCUUGGCAAAAGGAGAUCAGGAUUUGACCAAGCCCAAUAUGAUGUUGAAAGAUUUUGAAGCGAAUAUAUCUCCGGUUAAAGGGCCAAUAUGUGUUGAACUAACCAUCGGCAGCAAGACUUUGCCGACGACUUUGUUUAUCAUUAGUGGAAAAGGUGCAUACAAUUUGCUAUUGGGGAGAGAUUGGAUUCAUGCCAAUUGUUGUAUUCCUUCUACAAUACACCAGUGCCUGGUUCAGUGGGUAGGUGACAAGAUUGAAAUUGUCCCCAGAGAUUCUUCAUAUGUCAUUGCGUCGGUAGAGUCAGAUACUUAUGAGAGGAGCAGAUGCAUUUCAGGGGAAGUUUGGGAGAAAGAUUUUCUCAAAGUUGCCGACUAUGAAAUUCCACCGAUCCAAGCAGUCAGUUUUGAUGAGGAGUUUUAAUGGAUAGGCUUGCCGUUGAUGGAAAGUUAGGACAAGGGUUUACAUCGGCUGAUGAUCUAGUAGAAGUAGAUAUAGGUAAUGGCGAUAAGCCAAGGCCUACUUUUAUUAGUGCUAAGUUAGAUUCUGAGUGUAAGCAGCAAUUAACUGAUUUGUUAAAGGAAUAUAAAGAUUGCUUUGCUUGGGAUUAUACCGAGAUGCCUGGUUUAGACCGAUCGAUUGUUGAACAUCGGUUGCCUAUUAAGUCUGGGUUUUGGCCGCAUCAGCAACUAGCACGCUGAUGCAAUCCUAAUAUUCUCCCUAAUAUUAAGGCUGAAAUAACUAAACUUAUUGAAGCUAAAUUUAUUCGGCAAUGUCGGUAUGCCGAAUGGAUUUCUAAUGUUGUAACUGUCUAUAAAAACAAUGGAAAGCUUCGGCUUUGCAUUGACUUUGGAAAUCUCAAUAAAGCUACGCCGCUGGAUGGUUAUCCAAUGCCAGUUGCCGAUUUGUUGGUUGAUGCUGUAGCUGAACAUGAGAUUAUUAGUUUUAUGGAUGGUAAUGCAGGGUACAAUCAAAUAUUCAUGGCUAAAGAGGAUAUUUCUAUGACUGCAUUUCGAUGUCCUGGUCAUGUAGGAUUGUUUGAAUGGAUAGUUAUGACUUUUGGUUUGAAAAUGCUAGUGCUACUUAUCUGAGGGCCAUGAAUUGCUAGAGAUCUAUAUUGAUGAUGUGGUGGUUAAGUCUAGGGAUUUCAUAAAGCAUCUGGCCGAUCUGCAAAAGGUGUUGGAGUGCACAAGGAAGCAUGGUUUAAAAAUGAACCCUAGUAAAUGUGCCUUUGGUGUAUCGGCAGGACAAUUUCUUGGUUUCAUGGUGCAUCAAAGAGGAAUUGAAAUUAGUAGGAGAUCUAUUGAUGCCAUCAACAAAAUAGUUGCUCCCACCAAUAAAACUGAACUUCAAUCAUUGAUCGGCAAGAUUAAUUUUAUCAGACGAUUUAUAUCUAAUUUGUCGGGUAAGUGUUGACGGUCCUUAAUGCUCACAUUUAACCAUCAACUAAUCAUGGAAAAGGAUCCAAAUGCAACUAACACCUAGACUUAGGGUUUUAUCUGACAGAAUUCCAUGAGUUUUGGUGUUUGUCUAUUUCUGCAGGGGGUUAUCAGGAAAUAUGAAAGAAAGGCCCACACGUCGGGUUUACAUAGAGAUAUUAACGUGCCGCACAAUUAUCUACCAUCUAGAAGAGUCCAGAAGCCACGGGAGCGAACGGGAGACGUAACGGAGCCGGGCAGUGGGCGCCCGCCCUCCCUUACUGGGCGCCCGCCCUCCCCCUGGACCAAACAGAGUCCAAUUCGGGGACAACACUCCACUGACCUAAUACUUCAAGGAAAACCACACGAUCAAUGUCGGUUUGAUCCAACGGCCCAGUUUCAUCUGAAAAGACUAUAUAAGCAAGGCCCCCUGGCCCCUGGAGAGCAUACCUCUUCUACAGAAUCAAAGUUAGGGUUUCAAUUCUUCAUCCAAGUAGAGAGGAUCCCUCUAGUUCUUCUGGUUCUACCUCUAGUUCAUCUAGAUCUAGUUCUAGUUCAUUUAGUUCUAGUUCUAGUUCCUCUAGUUCUAGUUCUAGUUAGUUCUAGUUGUAAUCUAGAAAAUAGGGAGAGAGAAGAGGAGAGCGGAGGAGGUGGAGCCGGAUCUGUCGGAUCUUCCUCAACAUUGUACUUUUGCAGCAACUGGUAUCCGUGCGCUUGCGGAUUUUUCUGUUUGCGUUUAAAAUACCCAACAAGCUCUCUGGCGCCGUUGCCGGGGAACGGAAGCUGUGCUAGUUUCGAACCAAGUCGUCCGUGUAUCCUUUUUCUUUUCCUUUUUUUACCACACUCACCUUAUCAUUUACACCAUACCACAUGGAUUUCACUCUAAGCAUUAAUGAGCAUGGGAUUUAUUUCAUAGCCACUCCAUUUACUCCAUGCUCAUAUGCAACAUCUUCCCAAUCCAUUGGUUUUUCCAACAUCACCACAUUCGAGAUCUCCAACCCCUUCAUCCUUUCUAUUUAUAAAACUUUAAAAGGGCGGUUGUCGAUGUAUAUGUAUAUAAUAAAUUUUGCAGAUCUCGUUGAGUUGAUCUUGAUAUAGGUCAGUGUUGGAGGGGAAACCACUUCGCUGACAUAAAUUGAUGGUUUCCCAAGGACAAGCUUAGUGUCCUAAAACAAGCACUGAUCAGAUUGUAACAUGAGCUUUUAAUUAUUUACAACAUUACCUUGUAAAAAUAUUCCUUCGGGUAUUCUUGUCACUAACCUUUCCAGGAUUGGAGCAAGAAGAUCAGAUGAAUGACAAGCACAAGGUAUGUCCAACCAAUCAUCAUACAACAUUAAAUUAAAUUCAUCCAAACUUGAAUUUUGCAAAAUUCAAGCUUGGGGGAGUACUUUACGUAAAAACAUCAUUUGCCAUGUUGCUAUGUUGGUUGUCCUUACCUUUGAAACAUGCUCAAUUUGUUAAAUACUAAUCACACUACUUCAUCUCCACUUGAGUAGAUCUCUAUAAAUGCUCUCAUGCUACCUUUAUUUGCUUUAGUAUAUGUCUAGGUUUGGAGUAGUUUCAUUUAUCUCUUAAUCGAGCUUGGUGCUUAGUUUAGGAAUGAUGAUCUUACUUCCAAGGGGUUUUAAAUUAAGCAUGGUGCUUAGGUUAAAAAAAGCCCUCCUGAAUCAAGUUAGACAUGGUGUCUAGGUUGAUUUUUGAGCCGAUAGUAUUCUAUAGUAGAUAUUGGAUAUUUUGUUGGACUAACCCCUGCAGGAAAACUUUCAAUAUCGACCUGGGAAGUCCUGAGAUAAACUCACAUUAGAGACAAAGAGAGAGACACAUGAAGUUUAACAAUUUACACAAGGAAGGCAUAGCUCACAAGAGAUGAUCCAUGGAGGGUGCCAUAAACACGAUGCAUAAACGCUAAGAAAGGAAAGCUUCCACAAGGUAAUAUUUUACCAUCACUCUUCAAGUAAGGUAACAUCUUAAGGUACUUGACUAUCACUUUUAUAAGCUUCUCCUUAUUUCUGGCGUUCACAUAAAUAAAAGAGACAAACAUGUAUGAUUUACAACUCUAGAUUAACCAACCCAAUCGAUUCAACAUGAUUAGUCCUUCCACCUUUGUGAUUCCACACUCCUAAUCAUUGAGCUAAAAUGUUGCACACUCAAUCUUUGGAAGAUAUAUUUUAUAAAAAAACAACAUAAAUAUUGAUAGAUUAUCUUUCCAUUAGGUUGAGCGAUCUGAUCUAACGAAUGUUUUAAAUGCUACACUCAUGAUCUUAUUAUCCAUCAUCUUUGUCUUGCUCACUUUGCUUAAGGUUAGAGAGAACAAAUACACUUUUGGUUCUGUUGAUGUUUUCCACCAAUAGGGCCCAUGCACUUGAUCUCUGCCUUGUCUCUAUGAGCAGGUACACUUCGAGCAAAAUAUGAAGGACUUUUACAGCUCCCAGACUCCACCAAGUGAAGAACCUAGAUCUACGAGCACAAACACAUUGGAGAUACUGGACACUCAGGCAAUCACUGCCCUAAAAUGCUUGAGGACGUAACUACUGGAGUAACCCCAUUGUGGAAGUAAUUACUGACCUUCUGCCAAUCAAGAGAGGCGAUCCAGGACGCCCCGUCAUCCCGAUCUCCAUCGGCAUGGUGGACUUCCCAGAAGCACUCUGCGACUUUGGCUCCAUCGUCAACAUUAUGCUAAGGGUACUCUAUGAAAAAUUCUUUACACAUCCUUUCCUAGAAACAACCAUGUGUUUGUAGCUUGCAGAUCAGACACUAAGUUUCCCAAAGGGAAUAUUGAAGAACCUCUACGUCCGAGUUGGUACCUUAUACGCUCCAGCAGACUUCGUGGUGAUAGAGACUGAUACUGAUGAGAGGGCACCCAUCAUCCUAGGGAGGCCAUUCCUGAACACCUCGGGAGCUAUCAUCUAUGCUAGUGCUGCCAAGAUCAGUUUCUACAUCAAGGGAAGGACGGAGACGUUUUCCUUCAAGAACAAGACUACACAAAUCUUAGAGCAAUACUGACAUGAACCAAGGAAGGAUCAAUAGGAGGAACAGGAACAAGCAAAUGUGGACCAAGUCAGCUAAGAUGGUCACUGCAGUUCAAGGAGGUCAUGACUGUCGACUUAAGUCACCGUUCCUGACCAAAAAGGAUGACCCAGUCACCUAUCCGCUCCUAUUCAGAACCAUGCCCCUAAAACCGACAUACAUUCAGCUCCAGAUGAUUUUAAGGUUAUUGACAUGGGAGAAGACGAGUACAAUCCACCCAUCACCAUUGGAAGACUGUUCCUCAGCACCGUUAAAGCAAACAUCUACAUUGGAACUGGCAGAGUCCACAUGCAUUUCCCCUCUGAGAAGGUACGCCGCUAUUUUACUGACCCUAACUAUAUAGUUGAAGACUCUAAGCAGGUCAGGACAAGAAGAAGACGACGCAACCGCAACCAGAGGAGGCAAAUCAUCAAGGAUGGAUGGGCAGACUACAAAGGAGAAGUAGUGAGGUCUGAAGACAUACAGCUUGAACAGAACUAUCCUUAGGAGACCGUAGCACCGAGUCAGGUGUGUAGAGAGAAGAUAGUUAUACACGAAGAGUAGGCACCGCCGGAACCACCGACUACGCCAUCCAGCGAAUCCCAGGACGAAUGAGAAAACGGAGAGUCCCGUUCGGAGGACUUAAAAACACCGAACGCCUUGCCAAGAGGUAAACUUGGUAGUUAUCCUUUUCCUUACAAUUAUUUUUAAAUAGUUUGCUUAGUUAAUCAGGUUCAUGCUAUCUUGAAAAGAAAAUAAAAAUGUUAAAAAUAGUAAGCCCCAUGUGAGUAUGCUCAUGGCAUAAAACCCAUAAGUACAUUCACUGUGGUGGCGUAAAAAUAAAUAUAUAUAUUCCUGUCCUAUAAAAUUGAAAAUACAAAAAUAAAUUUAUGAACCUACUAAAGAGAGUAACAUUUAUUGAGGAGGCUCAACAUGAUAAAGGCUCUGUAUUUAUGCUAACACUUAACCAGUUCCACAAAGUUUUGUUGUCUAUUUGAGCUCCACAGAAUUCAAGGAUCAAAGAAGACAAGCAGACGGAGGACAUGCUAAUCACUGUCAGGGUGCUGCCGACAUUCAAAUACACCUCCGCCACCUGCUAGCUACAUCAAAAAGAAUUAUGUCAAAAUCCAGCUUGGGGGAGAGCACCCCCAUUUAUCCAGCUAAGUGUUCUACUCAUCUUUAUACUUUACUCAAAUAAUAAAAAGAUGCAUAAUCAUAAAAACCAAAUAAAGAUGUUGUGCUUAUAUAUAUAUAUCUUUGCUUAGUUUGCUAAAUAAAUAAAUAAAUAAAAUUUGCUAUGAACCCUCGUGAUAAGCUCUCACAUGGAAAUGAUGAAUAGUUGCUCUGCCAUGACUAGUUCUCAAAAUUGAAAUCUCUCUCAAGUUUAGACAUGACUGUUAUUAAUUAAGAUUUGCUCUAAACCUGAACUUGUGGGGAGAGUACUUGAUCUAAAGUCUAAGUCGUUAACGGAUACGAUAUGGGAAGGUUGAGCUACUGUUUAUCUGUUCCUACAGAUGCUAGAAUUCUGGAGAAUUUUAUCUUUGAAAAUCUUUAAAUUGUUUCAUGAUGAGUUCCUGUAUGAUGAGAGUUUAAAUUCCUACCGCAGCCAUAUAUACAUGCUUGCUAGACUAUGAACCACACAUUUACUUUACUACUUAUGAGCAUUGAGUGUGGUCAAGCUGCGUAGACCCUUAGGAGCUUGUCAUGUGGUUAAAUCAAGAUUCACUUGCACGUUCACUCACACAUGCUACUUCUACUUCGGAAGUACCAUCCAUAUAUAUCAAUUUCCAUCUCCAGAACCACCCAAAAAUAUUCUACUCCUAAUCCGGGAGAGAAUAGCCAAAAAUAUUUCUGUUUCUCCCUGUGAAAUAAAUGCUCAAGUUACCUUGUUACUACCACUUGCUAUAUUAUCUCAUGAGAUGAGUGCUCUAAUAAAAAAAAGAGAAAAAAAAUACGAGGAAACAAAAAGAGGCAAGUGCCCGGAACCUCGAAAGAAAAGAAAAAGUGAGACGAGAGGUAAAAAUGGAAAAGUGUCCGACAGUAGAUUUAGGGGUACAAGAUACCCACCUGAGAGAAAAGAAAAAGAAAAUAUAGAGCAUCUCAUUCUCAUCAAAAAGUUUCAAAAGAGCAAGAAAGGUAUGUAUCCCCUCAAAAGAGCACAAGUAGAAUUAGACUUUCACCAUUGUUAUCACCAUCUUUACCAUGCACCAUUCAUUCGCCACACAUGCACAUCUUGAUUUGACUUAUUGUCUUGUUCUUCUGGAUCCAUGGUUUGACUAUGCAAUAAAUGUCUUGUAAGUAUGUAUUAGCUGUCUCCCACCUAUGAGAGAGAGGGCAAUGUCAAAACCUUAUUAGAGUAGGGUGAGAGAGAGGGCAAUGUCACUAUGCCUCAUACCAAAAAUACCACAUACUUUGAGAGAAGGCAUACACCUUUACCGCCUUGGUAAGGAUCCAGAAAUACCACAAAUGAGAGACUAGAGAGAGUCAUACAAGGAAUCUCUGAGUUUUAUUUGAAAAUCUGCAAAAACUCCAGAGCUAUAGUUAAUCAAAGAACAAGAGACAUGGCGCUUGACUAGACCGUUCUAUCUUUUAACUGCUCAAGACACAAGUGACGGUUGCAAGCCCCAUGAUGGAAGGUACAUUGGGUAAGUUUAAAUCUUAACAGUUUACCCUAACCUAGAGAUGAGAUCUUGUUUGAACCCAUGUGUAUCUUUAAGGUAUGAAACCACUGCAGAAACUCUUGAGUUCAUCUUUGCUCAGGGACGAGCAAAGGUUAAGCUUGGGGGAGCUUGUUGACGGUCCUUAAUGCUCACAUUUAACCAUCAACUAAUCAUGGAAAAGGAUCCAAAUGCAACUAACACCUAGACUUAGGGUUUUAUCUGACAGAAUUCCACGAGUUUUGGUGUUUGUCUAUUUCUGCAGGGGGUUAUCAGGAAAUAUGAAAGAAAGGCCCACACGUCCGGUUUACAUAGAGAUAUUAACAUGCCGCACAAUUAUCUACCGUCUAGAAGAGUCCAGAAGCCACGGGAGCGAACGGGAGACGUAACGGAGCCGGGCACUGGGCGCCCGCCCUCCCUUACUGGGCGCCCGUCCUCCCCCUGGACCAAACAGAGUCCAAUUCGGGGACAACACUCCACCGACCUAAUACUUCAAGGAAAACCACACGAUCAAUGUCGGUUUGAUCCAACGGCCCAGAUUCAUCUGAAAAGACUAUAUAAGCAAGGCCCCCUGGCCCCUGGAGAGCAUACCUCUUCUACAGAAUCAAAGCUAGGGUUUCAAUUCUUCAUCCAAGUAGAGAGGAUCCCUCUAGUUCUUCUAGUUCUACCUCUUGUUCAUCUAGAUCUAGUUCUAGUUCAUCUAGUUCUAGUUCUAGUUCCUCUAGUUCUAGUUCUAGUUAGUUCUAGUUGUAAUCUAGAAAAUAGGGAGAGAGAAGAGGAGAGCGGAGGAGGAGGAGCCGGAUCUGUCGGAUCUUCCUCAACAUUGUACUUUUGCAGCAACUGGUUCGUUCUUCAUCGUUCUCCAGGUUCUUCAAUUCAUAAUUCCUGAGUUCUUUAAUUACUUUUAUUUACAUUCAAGUUAUUUAUUGGAUUCCCGCUUGCAUCAAGUGCUCUAAUCUUUGAAACAUUAGAGUAGUAAUUAAUAGAUUAGACGUGGUGUUUAGUCUUGCAAUUACCUGGAAUUGCACCCAAUCCUGCGGAUUGUUGUGGUAGCCUUAGGGUAGUGACAGCCCUAACGGUCGAUGUAUUCCACCUCGUUCAGAUCGGUGUUUGUAGGACCGUAGUCGGAGCUUCCUAGCCCCCUUCUCAUCUCUUUCUGUGGUUAGUGUUCUGAUGUCCCAAUAUAGAUAAUCUUGAAGUAAUUCUUGAUUCUUAGAUCAACUAGAGAACUCUCAGGAAACUUCCUCUCUUCCCACAAAAAAAUAAUCAUAUAGUUAUCCUUGGGCGAUCUUGGAUCUUAAUUAGUACACUCACGUUCCCUGUGGAAAAUCGAUACUCAGGAAUACUCCUGGGGGAAGGCUACAUCGGUAUCCAUGCGCUUGCGGAUUUUUCUGUUUGCGUUUAAAAUACCCAACAGUAAGAUUCGUGCUUUUAUCCCUUUGCUUAAACUAAAGGCCGAUCAAGAGUUUGUGUGGGAAAAGGAGCAACAAUUAGCUUUGGAUGAAAUCAAGAAUUAUUUGACAAAUCCUCCAGUUUUGAUUCCACCUCAACAAGGAAAGCCCUUUAGAUUAUAUUUGUCUACCGUUGAUAUGGUCAUCAGUUCGGCUCUCAUUCAAGCAUUUGAGGGGUUGAGCGUGUGAUUUAUUAUCUAAGUAGAAGAUUGGUGGAUGCUGAGACAAGGUAUUUGGCAAUUGAGAAAUUAUGCUUAUUCUUAUAAUUUUCUUGCGUCAAAUUGAGACAUUGCUUGCUAUCGGCCAAAUGCACUGUUAUAUGCAAAGAUGAUGUAGACCGAUACAUGUUAUCAAUGCCGAUUGUGAGUGGUAGAAUCGGCAAGUGGAUAUUAGCGUUGUCGGAAUUUGACUUACGCUAUGAAUCGGCUAAGGUAGUUAAAGGACAGAUCAUGACCGAUUCUGUAACUCAACAUUAUGGUGUAGUGGAUGCUUUGGAAAUUGUUCCUUGGAUGAUCUUCUUUGAUGGAUCUACGUGUGAUCGGGGGGCAGGAAUCGGUAUAGUGCUAAUUUCUCCUCAGGGAAAGAAGUAUGAGUUUUCUUUGCCGAUUGUUGCCACGUCGACAAAUAAUCAAGCUAAGUACCAAGCUUUGAUCAAAGGGUUGGAAUUAUUAAAGGGGGUUCAUGCUGAUGUUGUUGAAAUUUUUGGUGGUUUCAUGCUUGUCAUAAACCAGAUGAUUGGGAGUUAUGAAUGCCGAAGUGAGGUUUUGAUAGCAUAUUAUGAAAGAUGUGUUCAACUGUUGAAGGAAUUCAAGGAUUUCCAAUUAGAGCAUAUUCCUCAGUUGCAUAAUGAGGAAGCCAAUCGAUUGGCUCAGCAUGCCUCCGGAUAUCAACCCAUCUUGGAAAAAUUAUUGGCAGUCAGUGCCGAUGAUUAGAGAAGAGAUAUUAUUGAUUAUUUAAAAGAUCCAUCUAAGAAAGUUGAGAGGCGUGUUAGGUUUCAAGCUACAAAGUAUGUACUCCUCGAGGAAGAAUUAUAUUAUCGUACAAUAGAUGGAGUUCUGCUUAGAUGUUUGAGUGAAGAUGAAUCUAAAAGCUUGAUGGGUGAGAUUCACAAAGGUGUAUGUGGGGCACAUCAAUCGGCUUUCAAGAUGAAGUGGAUGAUUAGAAGAAAUGGGUAUUAUUGGCCGACUAUACUUGAAGAUUUCAUUAAGUACUUCAAAGGAUGUCAAGGAUGUUAGAAGUUUGGCAAUAUUCAAAGGGCACCCGCAUCGGCCAAGAAUCCUAUUAUUAAACCUUGGCCAUUUCGGGGUUGGGCUCUAUUGAUCUCAUCGGUCAAAUUUAUCCACCAUCAAGCAAAGGGCAUAAGCUUAUCCUUGUUGCGACCGAUUAUUUCACUAAAUGGGUUGAGGCUAUUCCUUUGAAGAAAGUGACAUCAGCCAAUAUGAUUGAUUUCGUAAAAGAGCAUAUUGUUUACCGAUUUGGCAUUUCCCAAACGAUUACUACCGAUCAAGGUACCAUGUUUACCUCGGGGGAGUUUGAUGAACUCGCGAUCGGUAUGGGGAUUAAGGUAUUGAAUUCCUCUCCUUACUAUGCUCAAGCCAAUGGGCAGGCUAAAGCUUCCAACAAAGGGAUUAUUAAGCUUAUUAAGCGGAAAACUGAAGAAAAUCCUAGGUGAUGGCAUACAUUGUUGAAUGAAGCUUUAUGGUCAUAUCGGAUGGCGUGUCAUGGUUCAAUCAAAGUAUCACCUUAUCAGUUGGUGUAUGGACAUGAUGCGGUAUUGCCAUGGGAAAUUAAAACUAGUUCCAGAAGGGUGCUUUCUCAAGAUCAACUAACUGCGGAUGACUAUGCCACUUUGAUGAAAGAUGAGUUGGAUGAUUUGGCAAGGCAUAGGUUGAGAGCUUUAAUUAGCAUAGGAGAAAAUAAAAAGAGAGUUGCUAAAUGGUAUGAUAAGAAAGUAAAGGCCAAAGAGUUUGUCGAUGGAGGUUUGGUGUGGAAGCUGAUUCUACCGAUUGGGACUAAAAGUUCAAAGUUUGGAAAAUGGUCUCCUAAUUGGGAGGGUCCUUAUUGGAUAAAUCGAUCUACUCCUGGUAAUGCUUAUAUUUUAGAAACUCUCAAAGGAGUUGAAUUUCCCAGAGCAUUAAAUGGAAAAUAUCUAAAGAGAUACUAUCCUAGUAUCUGGAUUGAUGCAUAGAGGUUCAAAUGCCGAUAAUAAUCCUAUCGGCUGGAUAAAAUGAUUCUGGGGCCAUGCAUAGUGUUUAAGUGCCGAUAACAAUCCUAUCGGCUGGACCAAAAUGAUUAAACUUUUUGAAAGCAGAACUAAACAAGUUGCCGAUGAAGAGUUCACAGAUUCAGCAGAAUCUGGAUGGCCGAUAUGGCGCGCAGACGGAUCUGGUUGGCCUCUUCUAUUUCUCGAGUGUCUUCAUUGAUAGAACCUUCCACAGGCUUCAACUUCUUCAUCUGUAGUGCUUUGCGGGCUUGGACGUCUCUCUCUUGCUGAAGAGUUUUGAGUGCAUUAGGUAGCUGGCUUUCUUCUUGCUGAGCUUGAGUCAGGGCCUCUUCCACUCGCUUAAGCUCGUCUAGCAAGGCUUCUCUUUUCGCCGAUAGAUUGGAGAUAUUCUGUUUCAGUUCAUCCCCUGAGGACUGCAGAACACCGAUGCUAUUGUGUUUCUCAUUGCAGCAUGUUUUGCUUGCACCAUCUCCUCUUUGAGCCGGGCAUAAGCGGCCUUAUCGGCGAGGUGCUGGGUAGCCUUCUGAUAUUGGAGUUGGCAACUUUCUAGGUGGGCAGCUUGGAAGAGGAUUUCUUCUCCGUCGGCUGGAAUUUGGCCACGGAGGGUCUUGAAUAUGACUUUAGCUGGAUCGGAAUCAUCCACUAGCUGGGUCGUGUCUUGGUGCAACAGAGCUAAUAAGUCUUCCAACUUGGCCUUAAUCUCUGCCGAUGAGAUUCUAGCUGCCUGAGAAGAACUUGCUUCUUCGCAUUCAUCAUCGGAGAUGUCAAUGGCAAAGGAGAAUAAGCUGUCUAGGGAGUCUUGCUCCUAGAAAAGGAAGAAGAUAAGUUACUCAGGGUUAAGUGUUGAUAAGUGCUAAGUUUGAAAAAUUAGAUAACUUACUUGCUUCAGGGUGAUUUUCUGUCUGUGACGUGGAGAUGCGGCUGGUACUAUAGUUUGAUCGGCUGGGGUUGCCAAUGGAAUGACUUCAGCUAAAAAUUACAAGGAUGGUUAUAGUUUAUAAAUAAAUUCAUCAGUCAUAACUCUAUGAUCGGUACUUUACCUUGAGGGGGUAUGGUGAUUGUUUGUUCAGGAGGGACAACCGAUGAUGUGCCCAAAUUGGUAGGCUCAGUGAUCUGACUAGAUACAUCGGCUGGAUCCGCCUGAGGAGGGGAAGGCACUUCUUGCGUCUGAGGCUCUGAUUGAGGUGGAGAGGGCAAUACCUGGAUUGGAGGUACUUGACGAGGUGGAGAGGAUGGUGUUGUCUUCUCACGCUUUGGCUGGGACUUGGUGCUUUUCGGGCCCUUUCUCUUAGGUGGAGCUUGACCGGGUUGGGGGGCAUCGGCACCUGAAGUUUGAGUCUUCUUGGUCUUUGCCGAUGCACCAGUCUGCAGUUACCAAAAAAUUUCAUAAGAUAAAUGUAAAGAGGCAAUUGAUAAAGUUUUGCUGAAGAAUGCAGGUUGGCACGAAACAAGGUUACCGACGAAGUUCUUGUUGCAGCCGAUGUGCCCUGAAAAGAUAGUAUGAGUAUGGGAUGAAAUUGGUAUAAGUAAAGAGAAUUAAGGGUUUACCUUAAAAGCUUGUGCCAGAGUGGUAGCAGCUACCGAUGGAGACACCUUCGACCGCUUGGUCGUCUUUUUGAAGAGAAGGUUGCGAUGCAUCAGAGCUGAUAGACUCGGCGCAUUGUGGCCGAUCAAAGAAAUUGGGCCUAAUUGAAGAAGUUCAAUCGGUCUCCCACUCCUGCUAAUUGUUGGUGUUGGGUCAUUGACCUGUUGAAAUAAGAAUAAGUGAGUUGCUGAUGAAGUUAAAAUUGACAAAGGAACUGAGGUAUUGGUAGGGGAUUUACGAUGUUAUCAGGAACUCCAUAGUCGGGGUCAAUCAUGCCGCGAUAUGUAUAAGCUGAUACCCUGAAUAGAUGCUCCUUCCAUUCUUCCCACCAAUAUUUAUACAACUGAGUAAUGAAGAGAGUUGGGACCCAGUCCGAUAGAUCAAUGUCUGUUGUAUCGACAUCUGGCUGGUGUUGAGCUAUCCUAAUCCACUCAAGUCCGCUGGUUAUUGUCUCUCUUGGUUUUACCACAUUGGCAUAACAAAGUUUGAUCGACAGUUGACCAAAGGCCAGUUGGCGAGCCAAUGCCGAUAGGUUGUAAAACUCAUAGGUGGUGUUGAUGUUUUUCCUGCUGCCAAAGCUGUUCACUGGGAUCACUCUCGGAGUGAUGAUUGCCAUCAUCAGAUCAUUAUCCUUGUUGAGAGCAUUGUCAAAAGGGUGGAAGGUGAGCGGGAACCUGGUUUCUGGGUCUUCAUAAGGCAUCCAUGCUCGCUGAUCUUUGGAGAGGCCAUCAUACAGGGUUUGAAAGAAUCGGCCGACCAAGUUUUCAUUGCAUCUGGUACCAGGAAGGACUAUGACAGCUUCACUAUAAUCGAGGAGUGAGCGAGUUGCCGAUUUAAAAUCGGCCAGUUCAUAACAUUCGGCGAUGUCUUUGGGGAAUUGCUAUGCAAAAAAAUCAAACCGAAGGCGUUUGUGCAUAUGAACAUUGAGCCACAUGUUGAUCAACCACCAAGGGCCUCCUAGAUUGCCGAUAGGUUCACCUAGCAGAAGUUUCUCGGUUACUUGAUGGAGGAGGUGAUAGACAGAGCCUAACAGGUAUCGGCCAAGAGGGAAUCGGCCACCAUCGGCUAAUCUUUCUGCUGCUGAUAAGUAGAAGGAGGUUGGUCCUACUGAUCGGCCACAGAAGAUGAAUUUGUCUAGCCACAUGUUCAGAAAAGUGGCAUGUUCCCUCUGACCAACUAAUACCUGUUUUUUGAUAUUUCUGGAUACACCCUGACCAGCCACCGAUGUUGCGGGUUUCUACUUUGCGUUUGGCUUUGCGGCCGAACAACUGGCCGUCACCGGCAGUUGUAAUGUCUAAACCAGUAACCAUUAGGACAUCGACAAGAGUGGGGGAAGCUGGGCCAUGAAAACCAAUAAAAGCAUUGAAAGUAUCCGACCAAAUAUGAGGCAGCUUUCAGCAGUGAUUCGUUUGUGUCCAUAUGGGCAAUAGACAGUCUGAUGCACUAAUCUAUCUUGCGUUCACCCCCAAUAUACUUCAUUGGUUUCACUGACUCUCAAAAACCAAUCCUUCCAUCCUUUGGUGGGGUUUGGCCAGGAUCGGAAGGUAUCUUUCCAUAGAUCUAAGGAAAAGUUCUCGGCCCUAGAAGGAACUCUAUUUGUUUCUGCGUUGAUCAAAUCGGUAGGAUCUGGGUUACCUAGCGGACCGAGGCAUUGGAGAUGGGGUUGCUCGGUGGGAAUGACAAUUUUUUCACUCAACUCCUAAAGUUCGUAGAUUGAAAGAGUAAAGGAAAAAGAAAAGAAGAAGAAAAAGCUAUGUAAGUGGACUUGCAAAUAAGGGAAAAUAUUACAGUAAAUGAAUGGGGAUGGAUUAACCUCAGGCACGAUGAAGUUGACGGUCAUAUUCUUCUCAAAGUAGAAGGAGUCGAAGGCUUGAGGAUUCUUGGGAGAGUUCUUAUUGCACGGGCUCGUAAGUUCUUCAUCAAACCCACCGCCGGAAGGUGAAUCUGGGAACAGAGGAUGGCAAGGUGAAGAAAGAGUGUUGAGGAAGGAAGUAUUUAUAGGAUAAAGCGAGCAGGGUAUUUUUGACUUAUCUCCUUGCCGUAUCCGUGAAAUUUGAGGGUGUUCAGGUGGAUAUGGUAACUGUUUGCACGAUAAUCAAGGGAUUGUGCAGGUGAUUUGACAGCAAGUAAUCAUGAUUUUAGGAGAUAUUUCACUUUGCGAGAUCUCCUGGUUCGCUCAUCGGUAGUCAACUCUAACAGAACAGUUGCCGAUGAGCGUGUGUUUAGGAGAUUUGGUUCAGAUGGUUGAGAAAUUCGAAGUGCGUGCUGGAAAUCCGGGUUAAAGUUGUUUGGGUUUCGAUAUUAAUUGCUGUCAGAUGGAAAUAAUGGUGAAAAGGGCGUUAUUAUUAGGAGAGAAUUUUGGAGCAUUAAUGAUUUUAUACUCCGAAAUUGGGGGCAUGUGUUGACUCCGUUUUUGGACACGUAUCAGGAAAGUUAAUGAAGCUUGGAUCAGUAGAUUGGAAAAGUGGUUACUGGUCGAUAGGGAAGUUGCCGAUGGCUUAUAAUACUGAUGAUAAAGCAGCAGGAUAUGAUUAAGUUUGGGAACAGUGGUUGAUUGGAGCUGAUGGUUGAUAUCGACGACUGCCGAUGCCGAUGGAGGGUGAUAUGCCGAUGAUGGUGAAGGAAGAUGUGGGAGUCGUUAGAGAGACGGUGGUGGUGUGCCGAUCGCCCAGGAUAGAUAAUUUAUUAUUUUCUAUGACGAAGUACAACCGGAGGAAGAACCGACAGGCCGGCCUCUCCUCUAAUCCUCCUUCGCUCUCCAUCUUGCUACUAUCUAGAUCUACUCUAGUUUAGAGAAGAGAGGAGAGCUCUCAUCUCUAAACCCUAGCUUUUGCUCUGUCUAUGAAUAAUGAAUAAUGAUCAAGGGGUGCCUCCUCCAGGGGCCAGGGGGUCUGGUUAUAUAGUCUUUUCAGAUGAAUCUGGGCCAUCGGAUCAAACCGACAUUGAUCGUGUGGUUUUCCUUGAAGUAUUAGGUCGGUGGAGCAUGAUCCGCGAAGUUGAAGCUGAUUGGUUACUGUAGCUGGGCGGGCACCCAAGGGACUUGGGCGGGCGCCCUGCCCCCGGGCCCGAUUGGCCUCCCGUUCGUUCCCGUGGCUUCUGGAGUCUUCUAGAUGGUAGAAAAUUGCGCGGCACGUUAAUAUCUCUAUGUAAACCCGACGUGUGGGCCUUUCUUUCAUAUUUCCUGAUAACCCCCUGCAGAAAUAGACAAACACCAAAACUCGUGGAAUUCUGUCAGAUAAAACCCUAAGUCUAGAUGUUGAUUUCAUUUAGAUCCUUUUCAUUGUUUAUUUGAUAAUUAAAUUUGAUACUUAAGGACCGUCAACAUCUACCGAUGGGAUGAUCAUCGGUUCGGCUUUAAUUCAAGAAUUUAAAAGGGAAGGAACGUGUGAUUGACUAUUUAAGCAGGAGAUUGGUUGAUGCUGAGACCAGGUAUUCGACCAUUGAAAAAUUAUGUUUGUGUCUUUAUUUCUCAUGUAUUAAGUUGAGACACUAUUUGUUAUCAGCCGAAUGCACUGUCAUAUGCAAAGAUGACGUGGUCCGAUAUAUGCUGUCUAUGCCGAUUAUGAGCGGCAGGAUCGGUAAGUGGAUUUUGGCACUAUCGGAGUUCGACUUGCGUUACGAAUCGGCUAAAGCGGUUAAGGGACAGGUUAUGGCCAAUUUUGUAACUCAACAUUGCGGUACGGUGGAAACCUUGGAAAUUGUACCUUGGACACUCAUCUUUGAUGGAUCCACGUGCGACCGGGGGGCAGGAAUCGGCAUAGUGUUGAUUUCCCCUCGGGGAGGGAAGUAUGAGUUCUCCUUGCCGACUGUUGCUACGUCAACAAAUAAUCAGGCUGAGUAUCAAGCUUUGAUAAAGGGGUUGGAAUUACUAAGGGAAGUUCAUGCUGAUGCUGUUGAAAUCUUUGGAGAUUCUAUGCUGGUUAUAAAUCAAUUGGCUGGAAGCUAUGAAUGCCGAAGCAAAGUUUUGAUAACUUAUCACGAGAGGAGUAUGCGACUGUUAAAGGAAUUCAAGGACUUCCGAUUAGAGCAUGUUCCUCAAUUGCAUAAUGAAGAGGCCAAUCGGUUGGCUCAGCAUGCCUCAGGAUAUCAGCCCAUGAUUAAUGCAAUAUCAGCAAUCGGUGUCGAUGAUUGGAGAAAGGAAAUCAUUGAUUACUUAAAGGAUCCAUCCAAGAAAGUUGAGAGACGUGUUCGGUUUCAAGCCACCAAGUAUGUGCUCCUCGAGGAUGAAUUAUAUUAUCGAACUAUUGAUGGGAUUCUUCUCAAGUGUUUAGGUGAUGAUGAGGCUAGAAGCUUGAUGGGAGAAAUCCAUGAGGGAGUGUGUGGAGCACAUCAGUCGGCAUUUAAGAUGAAGUAGAUGAUCAGAAGAUACGGGUAUUAUUGGCCGACUAUUCUUCAGGAUUGCUUUAAGUAUUUCAAAGGGUGUCAAGGAUGUCAGAAGUUUGGCAAUGUUUAAAGGGCACCUGCAUCGGCCAUGAAUCCCAUUAUUAAACAUUGGCCGUUCCGAGGAUGGGCUAUUGACUUGAUCGGUCAGAUUUACCCGCCAUCCAGCAAAGGGCAUAAAUUCAUCUUGGUUGCCACCGUUUAUUUUACUAAGUGGGUUGAAGCUAUUCCUUUAAAGAAAGUUACAUCGGCCGAUAUGAUUGAUUUUGUGAAAGAGCAUAUUAUUUACCGAUUUGGAAUUCCUCAAACAAUUACUACCGAUCAGGGUACUAUGUUCACAUCGGGGGAGUUUGAUGAAUUUGCAAUCGGUAUGAGAAUUAAAGUAUUAAACUCUUCUCCUUACUAUGCUCAAGCUAAUGGGCAGGCUGAGGCAUCUAACAAAGGAAUUAUCAAGCUUAUUAAGCGGAAGAUUGAAGAAAAUCCUAGGAAGUGGCACACGUUGUUAAAUGAAGCUUUAUGGUCAUACCGGAUGGCCUGUCAUGGAUCGACCAAGGUUUCACCUAAUCAGUUAGUAUAUGGGCAUGAUGCAGUGUUACCCUGGGAAAUUAAGACUGGGUCUAGGCGACUAUCUUUUCAAGAUCAAUUGGCUGCCGAUGAUUAUGCUACAUUGAUUAUAGAUGAGUUGGAUGAUCUAGCAGGGCAUCGGCUAGGGGCUUUGAUGAGUAUAGAAGAGAAUAAGAAGAGGGUUGCCAGAUGGUAUGAUAAGAAGGUAAAAGCUAAGGAGUUUGUCGAUGGAGACUUAGUAUGGAAGCUAAUCUUACCGAUCGGGACUAAAAGUUCAAAAUUUGAGAAGUGGUCUCCCAAUUGGGAGGGUCCCUAUCGGAUAAGUCGAUCGACUCCUGGUAACGCCUAUAUUUUAGAAACUCUUGAAGGAGUUGAAUUUCCCAGGGCAUUAAAUGACAAAUAUCUAAAGAAAUAUUACCCCAGUAUAUGGGUUGAUGCAUAAAAGUUUAAGUGCCGAUAACAUUCCUAUCGGCUGGAUUAAACUGUGUCUGAAGCUGGACUUAAUGUUUUAAAAGGUGCCGAUAACAGUCCUAUCGGCUAGACCAACACAUUAGGAGUGUUCAAAAGAAAGGAGCAAGUAUGUUGCCGGUGAAGAGUUCACAUGUUCAACAGCGCCUGGAUCGCCGAUAUAGCACGCAGACGGAUCUGGUUGGCUUCUUCUAUUACUUUCACAUCAUCAUCGGCAGAGCCUUCCACUGGUUUCAGCUUCUUCUUCACCUGCAGUGCCGUGUGGGCUUGGAUAUUUUGCUCUUGCUCAAGAAGCUUGAUUAUCUCAUGCAAUUGGCUUUCUUAUUGUCGGGCUUGGGACAAGGCUUCUUCUACCUGUUUGAGUUCUGCCAACAGAACUUCUCUUCUCGCCGAUAGAUCAGAAAUCUUUUGCUUCAAUACAUCUCCUGAGGAUGUCACAAUGCCGAUGCUCUUGUGUUUCUCAUCGGCAAGGAGUUUUACCUUCAUCAUCUCCUCACAGAGCUGGGCAUGAGCAGCUCUAUCGGCAAGACGUUGGGCAGCCCUCUGAUACUGCAGCCGACGGCUUUCUAGAUGUGCAGCUUGAAAAAGGAUCUCUUCAGCAUCGGCAGGAAUUUGGCCUCUGAGGGUCUUGAACAAAGCCUUGGUCGGAUCGGAAUCAUCAACUAGUUGGGCUGUAUCUUGAUGAAGGAGGGCUGAUAAUUCUUCUAACCUUGCCCUGAUUUCUGCCGAUGUAAUUCCAACUGCUCGAGAAGAGCUUGCCUCCUCACCUUCAUCUUCGGAGAUGUCGAUGGCAAAGGAGAACAGACUGUCAUGGGAGUCCUGUUCCUGAAAAGGAAAUGGGAUAAGUUAUUCUAUGGUUAAGUAUUGAUAAAUGAUACAAAUAACGAUUGGAUAACUUACUUGUUUCAAGGCGAUUUCUCGCCUCUGACUAGAUGAUGCCGAUGGAACUACGGGUUGAUCGGCUGAAAUUGCCGAUGAGACUAUGUUAGCUGGAAGGGUCACAGAAAUACUUAUGAGUUGGAAAAAUAGGUUCAUCGGUAAUGGUUUCAUGGAGAGUAUGUUACCUUGGGGAGGUGCAGUGCUUGUCUGGAUCGAGGAAACUACCGAUGCUAUGAUCAAGCUUGCCGGAUCGGUAGUCUGCUCGCGCACAUCAGCCGAUGUUUCUUCCGGCUGGGGUACUUCUGGCUGGGGUUCUCCUAGUUGGAGUUCUUCUGCUUGGGGUGUUUCCUAUGGCUGAGAAGGAGGUGGUACCUGCUGUGUCUGGGUUUAUGGAGAAGGUGUUGCUGUCCUCUGGCGCUUUGCUUGAGAUCUAGUGCUCUUGGAGCUUUUCCUCUUCGCUUGACUGGACUGGGGGCAUCGGCAGUCGCACUUCUGGUCUUUGCCGAUGUACUGGUGUGCUGGUACAACAAUGAAAAUUUGUGAGUACAAGUGUAACAGAUGCAAGAAUGGAAUCAGUAUGGAUGAAAGAGUUUGAAAAGUUACCUUGAAGGCCUGUGCUAAAGUGGCGGCAGCUACCGAUGGAGAUGCCGUCGUACGCUUGGUGGUGACUUUCUUAAGACGAAUGCCCCGAUGCAUUAUAGCAGCCAAAGUGGGAGCGUUGUUGCCGAUCGAGGAGAUUGGUCCUGAUGGAAAAAGCUCAAUCGGCUUGCCACUACUGCUGACCGAUGGGGGAGCGUUAUCAACCUGCAAUAUAACACAUAAAGUGAGUUACCGAUGGAAAUAAAAGUAAAAGGAUUGAGACAUCGGUUUGGAAAUACUUACAGUAUUGUCGAGGACUUUGUACUGAGGGUCGAUCAUGCCGCGGUAUGUAAGAGCCGAUUUGCAGAACAAGUGCUCAUUCCAUUCUUCCCACCAUUGUUUGUACGCCUGAGUAAUGAAGAGAGCCGGGAUCCACUCUGAUAGAUCUGCAUCUGUAUCGGCACUCGGUGGCAGUUGAGCUAUCCUAGUCCACUCGAGGAGGCUGGUGAUGGUCUCCCUAGGUUUUAUUACAUCGGCAUAACGGAGUGCAAUCGGCAGCUGACCGAAAGCUAGUUGACGCGCUAGUGCCGAUGGGUUGUAGAAUUCAUAGGUCUGGUUGGAGGUUUUCCCACUGCCAAAGAAAUUCACUGGUAUAGCUCUGGGAGUGAUUAGUGCUAUCAUCACCUCAUGAUCUUUGUUGAGAGCAUCGUUGAAGGGAUGAAAUGUCAGAGGAAAUCUUGUGUCUGGAUCCUCAUAGGGCAUCCAUGCUCGCUGCUCUUUGGUCAGACCCUCAUAAAGAGUCUGAAAGAAUCGGCUGACUUGAUCUCUAUUGCCUCCAGUACCAGGCAAGACUAUGACGGCUUCGCCAUAGUUCAAGGGAGGAUGACUUGCCGAUUCUUCUUCAUCCAACUCAUGUUCCUCUGCUAUAUCUCUGGGAAAACGCUGUGCGAAGAGGUCGAAUCCCAGUCGCUUGUGCAUGUGGAGGCUAAGCCACAUGUUUAUGAACCACCAAGGGCCCCCUAAGUUGCCGAUGGACUCGCCGAGCAGAAGUUUUCUGGCUACUUGAUGGAGAAGAUGAUAGGCAGAGCCAAGCAGGUAUCGGCCGAGGGGAAAUCGGCCACCAUUAGCUAAUCUCUCUGCUGCCGAUAGGUAGACAGAGGUUGGUCCUGCCGAUCGACCGCAGAAUACAAAUUUGUCCAGCCACAUGUUCAGGAAGGUGGUUUGUUCCUUUAUAUUGACAGGCCCUGUUCUGCGGUAUUUCUGGAUAUACCCUGACCAACCGCCGAUAGAGCGGGUUUCCACUUUGGCACUAGGUGUGGUCUCAAAUAUGUGAGUACUAUCGGCAGUGGAUACAUCUAAACCAGUGAGCAUGACCACAUCGACAAGAGUGGGAGAAGCAGGGCCGUGACCGAAGAUAAAGGCAUUAAGUGUGUCUGACCAGAAAUAUGAUGCCGCAAUCAGCAGCGACUCGUUCCUAUGCAUAUCGGCAAGGGACAACCUGAUGCAUUGGUCCAGUUUUCGCUCACCCCACUGAACCUCAUUAGAAUGGCUGACUCUCAAAAACCAAUCCUUCCAUCCCUUAGUAGGACUGGACCAGGAACGGAAGGCGUCUUUCCACAGAUCAAGAGAAAAGUUCUCGGCUCGGAGUCCUUUGAGGUUGGUGGAGAAAGGUCUUCGUUGGAGUUCUUGGAGCUCUCGAACAGCGCCGCCGCCAGAAAAGUAGAGUUGAGGCUGUGGAAUGAUGCGAUGGAGAAGGAGUACCCGAGAAGGAACUAUUUAUAGGACUAAACGGGCAAUGGUAAAUCUGACUUAUCUCUUCGCCGUAUCCAUGAAAUCCGAGGGUACUCAGGUGGAUAUGGUAACUGUUCGCACGGUAAUCAAGGGAUUGCGCAGAUGAUUUGACAGGAAGUGGUCAUAAUCUGGAGAUAUUUCACUGUGCGGGAUUUCCUGGUCGGUCCAUCGGCAGCCCCUUCUAACAGUAAUAUUGCCGAUGGGCGAAUAUGGUGGAGAUGUCCAGUUCGGGAAGUUGAGGAAUUCGAGGAAUCUACGGAAGGAUCGGGCCAGGGUUGUUCGAUUUUAACGGUCGGUUACCAAAUCGAGAGGAUUAAUUGCAAAAAGGCAUCAUUACUGCAGAGAAUUUUGGAGCAUUAAUGAUUUUAUACUCCGAAAUUGGGGGUCAUGUGUUGACACCGUUUUUGGACACGUACCCAGAUCGGAGGAGUGUAGAUCGGCAAGAUAUGGUUACAGUAUGUUGAUCUGCAGGGGAGUUGCCGAUAAGGGUGGUUGUCGAUGAAGGGAUAGCUAAAUGAGACUAAGUCCAUGGGUGGUGAUGCGUUCAUGCCGAUGGUCAAGCAUUAGCUUUUGACGAUGGCUACGAUGAGGAGUCUGCCGAUGAUUCGGAAGGAGAACCUGAAGGCUGCCGAUUGGUCCAUGGUGGUGUCCCAGUUUGUCACGGGAGGAUAGUUUUGUGUUUUCCUUAGUUAUUUAAAUCGUUUUGUAUACGGAUUCUGUUUAAUUUGGAAUUCGAGUUCUAGUCGUGUCUGAUUGUAGCUCUUUGAGUAGGGUAUAAAUGUAGACCCUAGGGCCUUGUAAUCGAGAUAUCUAUCAAUCAAUCAAACACAAGUUUACUCAUAUUCCAGCAUCUACUUUUUCGACGACUUCAUCAUAUUUUCUUUUUACCAUGAGUUCUUAGGAGUUCGUCGACUUAAGCUCGGCAUAUUCUCAAGUUUCGCGUGAAUACCUCUGGGCCGUGACAUCCGGGUGCAUCGCUGUUGUCGGGACCAAAGUAUUCGAGUUAUCACCUUUGCCGAUAGUAAGGUCAAAUCGGCUGGCGCGCCUUAACGUUUGAAUCGGGUAUUAGCCCUUUGUGUUUGCAGAUCAGCUUUUGCAUCAACACCUCACUUGUGGGUACGUUCUUGUGGUGUCCUAGUGAGGACGAGGUUCGUGCAACACCUCAUAGCCACCGAACCACCAAGUGUUGGUCGACACAACGGGGACGUAGCGUGCCGGCAAGCACGUGAACCUUGGGAGAAAAAUUGUGUGUCUCCAUUGUGAUUGUUCAUUGGAUUUCUCCUGGUGAUUGGACUUCAUAUUAUUGAUAGGUUCAUCCCCUCUACGAGGCGGUAUAAAGUUCAAACCUUCUCUUUUACAUUCCCACAAACUAGAGUAACUUACUUACUUGUAUAGAAACUUUAGGUAGCUUUCUAGUGUAAGUAGUGACAUAGCUCUUGUGUGCCUAGUGAUUAUAUCAACUAGAAUUGUUGAAUAGGUGGCUUGCAAACACCCCAUUAGAGCUAGAGCAAAAAGCUUCGCUUUGUUAUUUACUAACCUCUUGCUCUAGUGAGUUUGUAGAAUUUUUAAAUAGGCUAUUCACCCCCUCUAGCCAUAUUAGGACCUUUGAGUAGGUUCUUGUGGUUCCCAUUUGUUGGGCUAGGUUUGUGAAAAAACUAUUAGCCGCCGAACCACCAAGUGUUGGUCGACACAACGAGGACUAGCGUGCCGGCAAGCACGUGAACCUCGGGAGAAAAAUAUUGGUGUCAAUAUUGGGAUUGGUAUUCUCCCGGUGAAUAUAUUGAUAUACAUUGUGAUUGGUUCAUCCUCUACACAUGGGUAUAAUUAUCACUCACCUCUUUACUUUCUUGCAAAUUAGUUGUAACUAGUAGUUCCUAGUUUUAGCUAGUAGUAACUAGUUGUAGAGAGUAGUGACAUAGCCAUUGCUUGUGCCUAGUGAUCAUAGCAACUAGAAUUAUUAUAUAGAUGGCUUGCAACUCUUGUAGAGCUAGAGCAAAAUUGCUUUACGCCUUUUGUUAUGUUAAUCAUUUGCUCUAGUGCUUUGUAGAUUUUUAAAUAGGCUAUUCACCCCCUGUAGCCAUAUUAGGACCUUUCAGCUGCUCCUCACAGCAAAUAGAUUCAUUUCGUCAGUACUCAGUGUGAACCUAAUAUUCCUUGGUUCCCUUGCAAAGUCAUUGUGGUUUUAAUUGAAAUCUUUCUGUUGCUUGCCAUCGGCUAGGUGCCAAAGCUUUCCAUUGUCUUUGUGCUCAUCAGAAGCAUGCCAGCUCAUAAGUUGGGCAUCCUCUAGGUUAGCGAACAAACACAUCAAUCGAUUGACCAUAGGAAGGUACCACAUCACCAAAGUAGUAAUCUUUUUCUACACAUAAGGGUCUACUUCUUCCUUUUCUUUACCAGUGGGUUUUGAACUACUUUUCUAGGUCUUUUGUUGGGUCUUCUUUCAUUUUUUCGCUUAGACACGCAUGCAACACACUCUUCCUCUAUGUAGUCUUUAUUUGUCUUGUACCUACUUGCACCACACUUGGGACAACUGUUCAAGUCCUUAUAAUCAUCAGCUCGAUAUAGGAUACAAUGAUUUCUAAAAACAUGUUUCUUCUCAACACCCAUCGUGAGUAGACUGAUUAGCUUCAUUGCAUAGUACGUGUUAGCAGACACUUUAGCACAUACCGUGGUGUUAUGAACUCUUUGGUGCAACCCUUGGACUCAUCAUACAAAGACUCUUAUGCUGCCUUCAUCAGGGCCUCCAUUGUAACAGAACCGUCCAAUUUAUAUGAACUCAAGUGAAUUAGGGACCACUUAAGUAGUCAAGCUAAUGGACUUGAACCCAUAUAAACCCGGUAGUCUGACGAAACCUUGAUAGAUUUUGAUUGAACCAACAUACAAACAAAAUCGUACAUGAUCAAGCAUCUCCAUCACAGAUUACAUACAUUCAACACAUAUCAUUGUUUUACACAUGUCGGAGUUCCAAGUGAAAUUAUUAUAACACACAUUUAGUAGCGGAAGCAAAGUAGUUUUGAAAACACAACACACUUAGUUUCAUUACAUGCCAGUCCAAGGUCAGCCCAACAAAAGCAUGAGUCAAGCUACUAGAGGUGAUCUUGCCCAUGAUCUAUUCAUCAUCCGUAGCCGGAUGGUGACAGUUAGCACCAGUAGCCAUGAUAUACAAUAUCUUCUGCAAUAAGGGGAAUAAAACCCUGAGUACGAGAAUGUCCUCAGCGUCAUAAACCAAAAAUAAAGUGACAUCAAGGAUCAUGCAAGGCUUAUAGUAGUGGAGCUGGUUUGACUCACAUUUUGUUUACAAGCUUAAUUGGAGUAACACAUUUACCUUACCACUAGCAGCAAGUUAAUUACUUAAAACGGCUAUUCACUAAAUUAGCUCCUAUUCUAAGCAAACAUUUGAUUAUUAAGCAUCACAUUAAUAACCAUAUCCAGAUUAUCACAUAGCCAUCAUUAUCAUCAUCAUAACCAUUAAGUUCUCUUAGUGUUUCUACGUUGCCGUUGCUCAAGUCAAGUUCUCACUAUCUGGGAGAGACGGUGAUUCGAAUCGAUUCUUAUCCAGCUGGAGGGGUAUUCCUAGCACUCACCCAAGCAUACCUCACAAAGGCAGCUUUAGAUCACCUUUAGCACAACUCAUGAAUAACUUCAUGGGUCCGAUAAGUGCUGCACCCCCAGGGACGACAAUCUGCUAGGGUCAGGACUCUAACCUAACACCUCGGUCUUACGCCAUUGACUUCCCGCACAUACUUACUACCAAUCGGGGUGCGCACUCAAACAGAACAGGGUAUCUGGCCUGAGUUGACUCAUAGGCUUCGCGGUCAGAACGACUUAUCUAGCAAACUAAGUGUCAGGCAUGCGUUCAACAUGACGAGGGGAUGUACAGCGUAUCGGUCCUUAAACGACAUAGACGGGGAUAGAUCCACACCCAAGACCUCCAUGCCUGGCUGCUUCACUAUCGUCAUCCCGCCUGGACUCCAUUCAUCAUUAGCACUUGGUUGUAUCCACGAUAGCAAAUAUAGCCAACCGUGAUCAGAUAUCCACCUAUCUCUCGCAGGUGACGGGAAAUCACCUGGUUUCUACCGGACUAAGCAAGGCUAAGCAAUACUUCGAUCCUGGAACUACUCAAGGUGAGUUAAAAGGGUGGACAAGGAAUAGUAUUUAUGCAGCAAGGGUUUCAUAUCAACGCUUGACACUUAAUGCAUCACUAUAUAACCAUAAGUGAUUGAUUCUAGGGCAUGAUAACGAAAAUAUUAAGAGGAUUAUAAUGCUCCGGGGCUUGCCUUUGAUGAACGUGGUGGGAUGGUGGUUAGGGCACUCCAGCAAGUCUUCCUCCUCUGCUCCUCCCUCCUGAGGUGGAUCCUUCUGCUGCUCCUCAAGCUCCGGCGGGGCGAACUCCAGUACCGUCACUCCUUGCGGUGCACCUAGACAUGCAUGACAAGGUAAUGAACAUAAAGAAUGCACAUAGGAUGUAGGCAUGUCAUGAUGAUGGACUAAGGAAGCAUGUAACAAAGUGCAAACAUGACCAAGAGCUUUUGGGAUUAAGUAUUUAAUAGCUUAUCGAGUAGGUGCAUAUCUCCUCACCGGUAGAGAAGCUAAUAUUACAAGCUACUCAACUUACACUACCACAUAUAUGCAGUGAGCAAGCACUUUGCAGCAGUUAUCUACAAGUUUGUUAUAAAUAAGAUUUCCAGCAAACCUCAUCUUCAUAUAGUUCAUAAGGAAGUUCUAUAAGCUACACGGGAAUUGCUCUAGACAAGGCAUAAUUAGAAAAAAUAAUAUUUUACCACAUAUGAGAAAGUAACAUGGAUCCAAAACAAAUACACCAAAAGCUAGAAUAUGUCUAAGAAACAUUGUAAAACUUCAUGGAAAGACCAAAACUCACUUUUAACAUACCUUUUUCUAUUUAUUAUUUAUUAAAGGUGAAUUAAUGAGCAUAUAGCAUAAGUGCUUCAGUAAUUCCAACGAAAUUACAGAAAACAACACAUGCUUCAACAAUAUUACUGUAAAAGUUUCAUUUCCAUUGGACAUAUAGAUCAUAGUGUAUAAAAAUAACAAGCUAACAAAACAUUAAAGUCAUAAAUGGGAAACCCUACCAAAAAGUGUCAAACAACAGAUUUCAGAUUUUUCAUAGCAUUAACUUAACAUAACCACCUCACUCAGCAAUUUUCAUCUCAACAGGAGUUAUAAUAUAUUUAUUAAAAAUGCCACAAGAAACUCCUAAUUAAACAAGGGAUAAAUAUAACUUCAUCAUACAGCUUCAAAAAAUCAUGCAAAAUUUAUCAGAGCCUACACAUAGCACAAGUAUCAUCUUCCUAACUUUUCAUGACCAUAGGACUUAAAGAUCUAAACAUAAAAUUCCCCUCUUUUUAUUAGGGAAUAAAAGAGAUAAUUUAUAACUAAAUAUUUCUGUAAAAACAUAGCAUGUUUCAUAUUUUUCUUAAAAACUAGAAUAUCUCAAGAGCAUGACAAAAUUUGAAUCUCUCAAUUUGGAUAUGCGAAACUCAAUAUAAAAAUUUUACAAAAACAGCACAGAAUAUGCCAAAUUCAAAUCAGUGAGAGAGUGAUGGACUGACGAGGGGACCCCACAAGUCAGAGGGACCCACUCAAUAGUGACACAAGAAGCAGAGACGAGCUCGUCGCCGGCGAAUCUCGAUGACGGCGGGGUCUCGGCGAAACCCAAAGGCAUGGUUGUGUUCCUCUCCUUAAGGCGGACCUAACAAGGUACCUAACCCUAACUCUACGGAGCUACAGAGUGCUCACCGGCGCCAAUGGCGGCUUGGUGGCGCUGCGGGCGGUACGCCAGCGUGCUCAGUCAAUGUCGACGUGGUUGUGGUUCGCGCCGAGCAUCAUUGAGUCAAGAAGAAGCGAUUGGGAUAAGAAGGAGAAGAAAUGGUGGACCAGAGAGCUCUAGCCACGUCGCCGGUGAACUCGGCGGAUCUUCGCCGAGGAAGAAAACGCUCGGAGCUCGGCAAUGCUGCGUCAUUUGUGGUCGACCGUGGCAGUGGAGGUGAUGCCGAGCUGUGCCAUGUCGUGCCGUGGCGAGCGUGCAUGCGUGCCGUGCCAUGGCGAGGCGAGCGAGCGUGCGUAUCGUGUCGUGUCGUGUCUUGUCAGGAUCUAACAGUUGUCUGGUUAAAAGGAAAUUGAUUGUCAAUGAUUGCAAUUAAACCAGAUGUUUCCUCUCUAGCCUAUAUAUUCCUUUCUCGCAUCGUCUUUUCUGCUAUAUACAACACAUCAAACCUCUCCUCUGAUCUCCCUGUUGAGUUGCUCUAGUUUAUUCUCGUCCCGAACCUCUGCGCACAUAGAUCGGGAGAGAAGGCCUCCGGAAUCCGAAGCCUUGCAUUGAGACACCUGCGCAGGUGUGCGGGCAAUGAGGUUUUGGGAAGCGUCUUCCGUGACUGCUCGCUACCUUAGAUCGACGAGAUCGACUACUUCCUACUACAUAGGAUCGGCGAGAUCGGCUACUUCCUGCAACCUCAGAUCGGCUUAUUUUUGGUGGUGACGAGAGAUCGGCUACAUCAUCUUCUUCCUGGUCGACGUUCGCAGGACUGCACUGCGAACAUCUUUCUGCAUCGACUGUGGUCCGCUACUUCAAGCAACGCACUAUGUCGACUAGUGCGAAUGGAGCCGCUGGUGCCUUCAGUACUAAUCCCUCCUCUGGGUAUAAUCCUAAACGAUCAUAUUUUAUUUUCAGUUUGUCUACAGUAAUUGCAAUGUUUAUCUCUAAUCUAAGUAGCGAUAAAUUUGCACACAUACACAUAUAUGCCACCUCUUUAUUAUGUGUAAUUUUUCAGAUUAAAUCAAACAUUAAAAUGUCUAAAUUUCUAACAUGCCUCACAAGCAACAAUCACAACUGCUGCUAGCCAUGAUUAUUACAACACACAAGGUUCCAAGUUAUUUCUGUCCAGGCUCACCACAUUGAGGUACAGUUGCCACAGUGGACUAUUCAUGCCGACGUCAUGAAGUUUUCGAUAUGAAGGGUACCAGAAACGGAUGCUUACGGUGUGGAUCAAAAAAUCAGGUUCACAUUCGGAGAAGUGUGUUUUGAGGAGGGGGAACAGAUCACUAGAUAAUUGGAAUGACAUACAUUUAAUAUAGCCAUGGAAAGAGAAUUGUGAUUGCAGCAUAUUUAUUUACAUAAAUAUUUACUAGUAUAUAUAAUUCUAGAUUGCAUGAAGAACAUUAACAUGUAUAGAUAUAUAAAAAAGAGCAUGAACUACCACUAGUACACGGGCAAUACUAUACCAGCGGUUAGUAACCUAUUUUUACUAGCGUUUUUCAGCACCGCCUGCGCUAGAGGCCACUAGAAAUGGGUCAAUCUCACAGGUGGUUCAUUGUGAGCCGCCUGAAGAAAACAUUUCCACAGACAACUCUCUUAGGGAACUGCCUACACAGCCAUUUACACAGGCGGUUCCCUAAAAGAGCCGCGUGUGGAAACGAAUUUUAAAAUUGUAUUAUUAUAUAUUUAUUUAUUUAUAUUGUUAUUAUUUAAAUAUAUUGAUAUUGGUUGGUGUUCAAACAUAGCAACAUACAAUUUAAAUAUUUCAUUUUAUACGUACAUUUAUAUACAUCAAAGUUUGGUGCUCAAAGAUAUAAGGUUAAUUACAAGAGUAUAUACAUCAUCACACAUUAUAUAUACAUCAAAGUUUGUUUCUGUCCUCUAAUAACCGUCUUUAGUAAAUUUAAGCUUACCAAUCUCUGUUAGCACCCAAAACUGUGGCAUGGAUAAUUGGCUUUCAUCAUCAUGAUAUUUGCCUUCACGUGGAAUGACAUGCUUCAUGAGGAACGAGCAGAUAUCCUCAACUAUGUUGUCUAAAGCACAUUCGUCCAUGCGCUCCGCCGUCCCUUGCUUAUAUACCUGUAAAGAAAGUUUAUAAACAUUAUAUAUUGUAUGACUUGCAACUUUAAUGUCGGAACUGUAUGCAUGACUAUAACUUAUAUUACCAUAGCAGGGUUGCUUUCGUAUCGUUCGUUCUCUCUCAUGUUCUCGCACACGUAGUAGCCACAAAGGCGAGAUAAGGGUGGUGUUGAUAUUUGGGAACGGAAUAAGGAAUUGAUCCGCAAGCGCACGGAUAUCGGUGAGCACUUCACCCCGGAUGUUAUCUAGAGUAUCGUAUUUAUAUUUUUACCAUUAGGAGAAAGAGUGCAUUUGACUAACCCGGUCUAUUACUACUAACCAUUAGGCUACAAAAAAUGUGUCUCGAUGUGAGCGAUGUAUAGAGAAGACUACAACCGUAAUCUCGUUCUAACCUUGGUAAGGAUGAUCUACUAUUCUAUUGGGGAGGCUCACGGAAUCUAGACACCACAAAGGAUGUUCAACCCGCUCCUAUAAACCCUAUCGAUCCUACUAACGGAAUAUGGGCUGCAAAGGUAACUCAGAAAUGUCACGUUCCUCGCUACUACCACGGUCCAGCUAGUCACGGGAUAUCUAUGAGUAUCCUAGCCCAAACACCACGUUUACGCUAGAGAUGAUUACUCUAAACUCUACGCGAAGAGAUUAAAGUAAACUCAUAAACCAAAGAUCAAUAAAACAAGAACUUACUAGUAUUUAGAAGUCGAAAUACUGAAGAAUCCUAGGAGCAAGCUUCGGGUUAGGAGAAUUUGAUCCCGCAGGUACAACCUCGGAGUAGACAACGACAGGCCGGGCUUCCUCCGAUCUACACCUCCACUCUAUCUCUCUCAAUCUAGUAGAUGUAAUCUACUCUCACAUUGGAUGCUAAGCCCUAAGUCUAUGUAGACGAAAGGUUAUCCUUCGAGGGCACCUCUCGACUCUAUGAUGAACUUGUUCUCCUCCAGGGGCCAGGGGGUCUGCUUAUAUAGUCCUCUCAGGUGAACGUGGGCCGUUGGAUCAAACCGACAUUGAUUGAACGGUUAUCCUUGAUCUUUUAGGUCGGUGGAGCACGAUCCGCGAAGUUGGCUCUGAUUGGUGGAGACACCAGGGCGGGCGCCCUGCCCCCGGGCCCGAUCGCCUUCCCGUUCGUUCCCAUGGCUUCUCAAGUCUUCUAGAUGGUAGAAAAUUGCACGGUGCGUUAAUAUCUCUAUAUAAUCCCGACAUGUGGGGCUUUCUUCCUUAUUUCGUGAUAACCCCCUGCAGAAACAGAUAAACAACAAAACUCGUAGAAUUCUGUCAGAUCAAACCCUAAUUCUAGGUGUUGUUUGUAUAUUGGUCCUUUCUCUUGUUUAAUUGAUAAUUAAAAUUGAUACUUAAGAACCGUCAACAAACACCCCCAUACUUAGGCUUUUACUCGUCCUCGAGAAAAGGAUGGUUAAGAAAAAUAUCUGGGGUCAAAACAUUCUCUUCAUACCUACAGGGUGUUGUAAAAAUUCACUGUGUACCAUAGUCAAGGAAAUAUAUGGUUAAGAGUAGAGGUCCUUUCUUCUCAAUCUUGUUACUUGGAGUUUUUUUAUAUUUUCGAAAAGAAAUUUAGCAUACCAUUAUCCUCAUAGGUUAUGUUAGAUCACUCACUUAUCUUCUAUAUAUCUCACUAAGGCUGUUUUAAUUUGCAGAAAUUCUCAAGCAUACUCACCUUGCAUCUAUUACCUGAUCAAAACGGGAUCCGAGGAGAAGAAUGUCAUACUCUUAGAUCAAAGACUUUGAAAAUUAAAAACUUGUCAACUCUUACCGGCAUAUUGCUUAUUAGAGGGACCAUGGGCUAUCGUUUUCUUCUUUUCUUCUUUUUUUCAGGUGGAUACGAGGUACCCCUAAUUCUACUGCCGGACACUUGUCCAUUUUUUUGUGAGGUUAUCGAGCACUUGCUCCUUUUUAUUUCCUCGAAAUAUCCUUAUUUUUGCAUUGCCCAUGCCUCUAACGCAGUAAUACUUCGGAAGAGUGAAUCUUUCUGAAUAAAUGUCUUGAUCUUAGGAGCAUGAUAAAUCUCUCAACAAGAGUCUAACUCAUUUUGAACAAACUCAAUACAGAGUAGAUAGCUUUUAUUAUUAAUAAUAUUUCUAGGUUUAGUAGGCUUAUAAAACACAGAGGAUGGUGUUGACGGUACUUAAGUAUCAAAUUUAAUUAUCAAAUAAACAAAGAAAAGGAUCCAAAUGAAAUCAACAUCUAGACUUAGGGUUUUAUCUGACAGAAUUCCACGAGUUUUGGUGUUUGUCUAUUUCUGUAGGGGGUUAUCAGGAAAUACGUAAGAAAGGCCCACACGUUGGGAUUACAUAGAGAUAUCAACGUGCCGCACAAUUAUCUUACAUCUAGAACACUCUAGAAGCCAUGGGAAGGAAGCGGAGGCCGAACGGGGCCAGGCACUGGGCGCCCACCCAGUUGACCUGGGCGCCCGCCCCCUCCUGGAGUCCAAACAGGAUUCUCUUUCGGGAACCGACCUAAAGGAUCAAGGAUAACUGUUCAAUCAAUGUUGGUUUGAUCCAAUGGCCCAUAUUCACUUGAAGGGACUAUAAAACCAGACCCCCUGGCCCCUGGAGGAGAGAGCCUCUCAACCCUAAUUCAUUAUUCCUCAAGGGAGAAGAAGCCUCUGAUCAAGAUUAGAGCCACCACAUCAAUUAGACAUCUAGAUUAGCAUAGCUACAUAGGAUUAGAACUAGAAGGAGUCAAUCUUCGAUUGGUUUCCGGAUCUGUCAAGAGGAUUCUUGGUAAUUCUCUAAUUGUUCUUCUAAAUAUCUUUGUUCUUCAAUAUUAUAAAUAUGACUUUGUUCUACUUCAAUAUAUUGCUUAUGACUUUGCUCUACUUGUUUAUAUUCAAUAUUAUAUUGUUCUUAGUUUAUCAUAGUUAUAUACUUGGCUUAGUUAGAUUGGAUCUAUAUACAUGUUUAGGAUCGUAUAGCGUUUAUCCAUCGGAUCCAUGGGUAAAUGAUAGAUAUUGUGUAGGCGUGGUGCUUAUACCGUUUUUAUCUGCGAUUGUACCCAAUAUGCCAUAUCGUGGGGUAGUUCGUGAUAGUGACAGCUUCGUGUAUUGGGCUGGCAGAGCAACAUUAUUACAGGGGAGUGAUUGCUAUGUUUCUCAUUUACCUUGCUAAUAUCACUAUGCAUGGGCGUAGUCUUGUCUCACAAUGAUUGCUAAGUAUAAUUGCACUAACUAUGAUAAUGCUAGACUAUAUAGUUGAGAAUAACUUAGCAAGUAUUCUUGUAGUUCGUUCUAAUUCCAUGCUAAUGACUUUCUACAAUAUCUAAUUCAGGUGCUUAUCAUAUUUAUUAUGUGGCUAAGUUAUGCUGAUCAAAUUAAUUAUCUUUGUCACUAUUCAUUACUUUAUAUCUUUUAUGUGACACUUAUCCCUGUAUGAAAGAGUUAGAUAAAUGUUCUCAAUUAUACAUGCAAUGAUAGAUACUCAAUCUCAUAUUCCAUUCUAUAAUCAACACUGAUGAUUGCUAAUCCCUCUCCAGUGGUAAAAAUAUAAAUAACGAUACCUGGAAUACUUUCCGGUUAAAAUGCUACAUCGGUAUUAAUCUGUGCACUUGCAGAUCCUAUUUGUUAUUUAUUUAGAAGAGCAAUUGCAUAUUUCAAUACCGCGUCUCUCAUGUCAUGCUGGGGAUGACAACUUGGCUUAAGUGGUAUGAGAGAUAGGUUUGGCAUUUUUGGCACCGUUAUCAGAAUUAGAAAACUAAGUCUACUUUUGGUAAUGAUGUUAAGAAUACCUAACAAGCAUUUUUGGUGCCGUUGCCAGGGAAGGUUGAUUACUAAUCAAGAAUGGAUAAAGGAUUUUGAGUUACCAUUCACAUCACUAAUAUGAUUGAGCUUAUCAAUUCUCUCAUACAGUUUUACCCCGAUAUUUUCUAUUUUAUCUUAUGUAGGGUAAUGUAUGAAUAGAAGACAUCUUCUAGGAAAUUUUGUUGACAAUCCCGAAGCAUUAUUCAGAAAAACAAGAGCCAAGCUCAAGAAGAGAUCAUCAACACUACAGCAAGAAGCUUCAUCCAAUCAAGAAGAUCACCGGAACUUGUCUUUAGAGUUCGAAGCCGUGGCGAACAAAUCAAUCCGCGAGUUCUCAGCUCCCACUACGGACACCAUCCGCACUAGACCUGCUGCAGAAAUCGAUGGCAACUUUGAGCUCAAGCCUAGACUUAUCAAUAUGGUGCAAUCCAACAAGUUCUGUGGGAAGGCACAUUAAGAUGCUAGUGCUCAUCUCCAACACUUCCUGCAGAUUUGCAACACAUUUACCAUAUCAGGAGUUUCCAGAGAUGCUAUACUACUUCGCCUCUUCCCAUUCUCACUGUUAGGAAGAGCGAAGCAGUGGUUCUACGCUACAAAGGAGAAGAAUACUACGUGGGCACUCUGCUCAACAAACUUCCUGGCUAAGUUCUUUCCCAUGGGCAAGACCAAUGCUCUCCGUGGGAAGAUUACAAGUUUUAAGCAACAACAUGAUGAAUCUGUUCCAGAAGCAUGGGAGCGCUUCCAAGACUACAUCCUAGAAUGUCCCCAUCAUGGAAUGGAGAGUUGGCUACUGAUGCAGACGUUUUAUCAUGGGCUCGGCAACAGUGCCUGAGAGACCAUGGAUGCUGCAGCUGGAGGAGCAUUCCUAUCACUUACCAUACCACAAGCCACAGCUCUUGUGGAGAAGAUGGUGUCCAACCAAAGCUAGAAUGAAGAGAGGACCCAGACACACAAGAGAGGUGGAGGUAUGCAUCAGCUCAAGGAGGUAGACAUGUUGUCUGCAAAGCUAGACCUGCUCAUGAAGAAGCUCGAUGAUAGAGCUGGAGAUAAGAAAGAAGUUUUGCACAUCUACGACUCUCACAUGACUUGUGAGGAGUGUGGAGAUACUGGACACUCAGGCAAUCACUGCCCUAAGAUGCUCGAGGAUGUGAACUACAUCAACAAUAAAAACAACUACUACAACCGUCCUCAACGAAACCAAGAUUGGCAUUAACAGAGGCCUAACUACUCAGGUAAUUAUCAAGGUAACAAUUCUUACAACAAUAAUAAUAAUUUUCCACCUUUGAGAGAGUUAGUGUCUAAUCAAGGAAAGCUAAUGGAUAAUCUAUCUAAGAAAUUGUCAUCUAAUGAUAAAAUGCUAAAACAUAUAAAUAAUAGAAUGGAUAAUUUCUCUACUGCCAUCAAGAAUCAAAUUAGCUUUAAUAAAAUGAUUGAAUCUCAGUUAAAUCAAAUAGCUGCUGCUGUUCCGGCUACUAACCCCGAUAUACCAUCACAACCAGAAGAAUUAGAAUCUGCAAAUCUUGUAGACAUGUUUGAUGCAGGUAAUUGGAGUAACCCUAUCACUGAAUUCACUACUGACCUUCUGCCGGUCAAGAGAGGCAAUCCAGGACGCCCCGUCAUCCCGACUCCAUCGGCAUGGUGGACGUCCCAGAAGCACUCUGUGACUUUGGCUCCAGCGUCAACAUUAUGCUCAGGGUACUCUAUGAAAAAUUCUUUAUAUAUCCUUUAUUAGAAACAACCAUGUGUUUGCAGUUUGCAGAUCAGACGAUAAGUUUUCCAAAAGGAAUAUUAAAGAACCUUUGUGUCCGAGUUGGUACCUUAUACGCCCCAGCAGACUUCGUGGUGAUAGAGACCGGUAAUGAUGAGAGGGCACCCAUCAUCUUAGGAAGACCAUUCUUAAACACCUCGGGAGCUGUCAUCUACACUAGUGCUGCCAAGAUCAGUUUCUACAUCAAAGGGAGGAAGGAGACGUUUUCCUUCAAGAACAAGACUACACAAAUCCCAGAUCAAUCCAGACGUGAAUCAAGGAAGAGGACCAACAGGAGGAAUAGAAACAAGCAAGUGUGGACCGAGUCAGCUAAGAUGGUCACUGCAGUUUAUGGAGGUCAAGAUCAUCGACUUAAGUCAUCAUUUCUAACCAAGAAGGAUGACCAAGGAAUGCCAAGCAUCUAUUGCUCCAUAAAUGGAUACAACUUCUACAAGACGUUUUGCGACACUGGAUCGGGCGUCAACAUAAUGGCCGCAGUGACCUAUCGGCUCUUGUUCGGAACCAUGCCCCUAAAACCAAUAUACAUUCAGCUCCAGAUGGCAGAUCAGACAUUUCGAGAGGUUAAAGGAACAGUGACUGAUGUCCUUGUCAAAAUAGACGAUCAUUUUGUCUACACAGACUUUGAGGUUAUUGACAUGGGAGAAGACGAAAACGAUCCACCCAUCAUCCUUGGAAGACCGUUCCUCAGCACCGUUAAAGCAAUCAUCUACAUUGGAACCGGAGAAGUCCAUAUGCACUUCCCCUCAGAGAAGGUACGCCGCUAUUUUACUGACCCUAACUAUAUCGUUGAAGACUCUAAGCAGGUCAGAAAGCGACGCAACCGCAACCAGAGGAGGCAGAUCAUCAAGGACGGAUGGGCAGACUACGAAGGAGAAGUUGUAAGGUCAGAAGACGUACAGUUUAAACAGAACUAUCCUGAGGAGACCGUAGCACCGAGUCAGGUGUGGAGAGAGAAGAUAACUAUACAUGAAGAGGAGGCGCUGCCGGAAGUACCGACUACGCCAUCCAACGAAUCCCAGGACAAUUGAGAAAACGGAGAGUCCCGUUCGGAGGACUUUAAAAACACCGAACGCCUUGCCAAGAGGUAAACUUGGUAGUUAUCCUUUCCCUUUCAAUUAUUUAAAAUAGUUUACUUAGUUAAUCAUGUUCAUACUAUCCUAAAAAUAAAAUAAAAAUCUGAAAAACAGUAAGCCCCAUGUGAGUAUACGAGUGGCAUAAAACCCAUAAGUACAUUCACUGUGGUGGCAUAAAAAUAAAAUAAAUAUUUCUUUUCUGCUCUAUAAAAUGAAAAUAUAAAAAUAGAGAGUAAUAUUUAUUGAGGAGACUCAACAUGAUAAAGGCUAGAUAUUUAUGCUAACACUUAAUCAGUUCCACAAAGCUUUGUUGUCUAUUUGAGCUCCACAGAAUUUAGGAAUCGAGAAGACUAGCAAACGGAGGACAUUCUAAUCGCUGUCAAGAUACUGCUAAGUUUCAAAUACACCUCUGCCACCUGCUAGCUACAUCAAGAGAAAUUACGUCAAAAUUCAGCUUGGGGGAGAGCACCCCCAUUUAUCCCGCUAAGUAUUUCUAUCUAUCUUUAUUCUUAUAUUAUAUUAAAAUAUAAAUAUACAUAACUAUGGAAAACGAAAUAAAGAUUUUGUGCUUAUAUAUAUCUUUUGCUUAGUGUGUUUAAUAAAUAAAUAAAGUAGUUAUGCUAAACUGAAUCUUAAUAAUAAACUCUAGCAUGGAUAUGAUGAAUAGUUGCUCUGCCUAAUUUUUAAAAUUUGAAGUUCUCUCUCAAGUUUAGACAUAACUGUUAUAAUUUAAAGCUUGCUCUAAACCUAAACUUGUGGGAAGAAAACUUUAUCUAAAGUCUAAGUUGUUAACGGAUACGAUAUGGUAAGGUUGAGCUGCUGUUCCUAGAGAUGCUAGAAUUCUGGAGAAUUUUAUCUUUUAAAAUCUUUAAAAUUUUACAUGAUGAGUUCUUGUAUGAUGAGAGUUUAAAUUCCUACCACAACCAUAUAUACAUGCUUGCUAGACUUUGAGCCACACAUUUACUUUUUACUACUUAUGAGCAUUGAGUGUGGUCAAGCUGUGUAGACCCUUAGGAGCUUGUCAUGUGGUUAAAUCAAGAUUCACUUGGACGUUCACUCACAUAUGCUGCUUCUACUCCAGAAGUACCAUCCACAUAUAUCCACUCAUUUCCAUCUCUAGAAUUUCCCAAAAAUAUUCUACUCCUAAUCUAGGAGAGAAUAGCCAAAAAUAUUUUUGUUUUCCCUUGUGAAAUAAAUGCUCAAGUUAUCUUGUUACUACCACUUGCUAUAUUAUCUUAUGAGAUGAGUGCUAUAAAAAGAAUAUAUAUACAAGGAAAUAAAAAGGGGCAAGUGCCCCGAACCUCGAAAGAAAAGAAAAAGUGAGACGAGAGGUAAAAAUGGACAAGUGUCCGACAGUAGAAUUAGGGGUACAAGAUACCCACCUGAGAGGAAAGAAAAAAGAAGAGCAUCUCAUUCUCCUCACAAAGUUUCAAAAAGCAAGGAAGGUAUGUAUCCCCUCAAAGAGCAAAAGUGGAAUUAGAUUUCCACCAUUGUUAUCACCAUCAUCACCAUAUACCAUUCAUUCGCCACACAUGCACAUCUUGAUUUAACUUAUUGAUUUGUUUCUUUGGAUCCAUGGUUUGACUAUACAAUAAAUGUCUUAUAACUAUGUAUACUUUAUCUCCCACCUAUGAGCUCCAGAUACAAAAGCCUUAUUAGAUAGGGUGAGAGAGAAGGCAAUGUCACUAUGCCUUAUACCACAAAUACUACAUAUUUUGAGAGAAGGCAUAUACCAUCACUGCCUUGGUAAGGAUCUAGAAAUACCACAAAAGAGAGAUCUGAGAGAAUCAUACAAGGAAUCCCUGAGUUUUAUUUGAAAAUCUGCAAAAACUCUAGAGCUAUAGCUGAUCAAUAAUAAGAGACAUGGCACUUGACUAGACUGUUCUAUCUUUUAACUACUCAAGACAGAAGUGACGGUUACAAGUCCCAUGGUAAAAGGUAAAAUGAAUAAGUUUUAAGUCUUGAAAAUUUACUCUAACUCAGAGAUGAGAUCUUAUUUAAAAAGCAUGUGUACCGUCAAUUUUUAUAAAGCAUUGCAACAACUUCUGAUCCAUCGCUGAGUCGAUCCUUGCUCAGGGACGAGCAAGAGGUAUGCUUGGGGGAGUUUGUUGACGGUCCUUAAGUAUCAAAUUUAAUUAUCAAAUAAACAAAGAAAAGGAUCCAAAUGAAAUCAAAAUCCAGACUUAGGGUUUUAUCUGACAGAAUUCCACGAGUUUUGGUGUUUGUCUAUUUCUGCAGGGGGUUAUCAGGAAAUACGGAAGAAAGGCCCACACGUAGGGAUUACAUAUACAUAUCAACGUGCCGCGCAAUUAUCGUACAUCUAGAAGACUGCAGAAUCCACGGGAAGGAAGCGGAAGCCGAACGGGGCCAGGCACUGGGCGCUCGCCCAGUUGACCUGGGCGUCCGCCCCCUCCUGGAGUCGAAACAGAACUCUCUUUUAGGAAAGAUCUCCAUCGACCUAAAGGAUCAAGGAUAACCAUUCAAUCAAUAUCGGUUUGAUCCAAUGACCCAUAUUCAGUUGAAGUGACUAUAAAACCAGAUCCCCUGGCCCCUGGAUGAGAGAGCCUCUCAACCCUAAUUAAUUAUUCCUCAAGGGAGAAGAAGCCUCUGAUCAAGAUUAGAGCCACCACAUCAAUUAGACAUCUAGAUUAGCAUAGCUACAUAGGAUUAGAACUAGAAGGAGUCAAUGUUCGAUUGGUUUCCGGAUCUAUCAAGAGGAUUCUUGGUAAUUCUCUAAUUGUUCUUUAAAUUAUCUUUGUUCUUCAAUAUUAUGAAUAUGACUUAGUUCUACUUCAAUAUAUUGCUUAUGACUUUGCUCUACUUGUUUAUAUUCAAGAUUAUAUUGUUCUUAGUUUAUCAUAGUUAUAUACUUGGCUUAGUUAGAUUGGAUCUAUAUACAUGUUUAGGAUCGUAUAGCAUUUAUCCGUCGGAUCCAUGGGUAAAUGAUUGAUAUUUUGUAGGCGUGGUGCUUAUAUCGUAUUUAUCUGCGAUUGUACCCAAUAUGCCAGAUCGUGGGGUAGUUCAUGAUAGUGACAGCUUCAUUGAUUCUUAUAUAGUCCCCCUCUCGUGUAUUGGGCUGGCAGAGCAACAUUAUUAGAGGGGAGUGAUUGCUAUGUUUCUCAUUUACCUUGCUAAUAUCACUAUACAUGGGCGUAGUCUUGUCUCACAAUGAUUGCUAAGUAUAAUUGCACUAACUAUGAUAAUGCUAGACUAUAUAGUUGAGAAUAACUUAGGAAAUAUUCUUGUAGUUCGUUCUAAUUCUAUGCUAAUGACUUUCUAGAAUAUCUAAUUCAGGUGCUUAUCAUAUUUAUUAUGUGGCUAAGUUAGGCUGAUCAGAUUAAUUAUCUUUGUCACUAUUCAUUACUUUAUAUCUUUUAUGUGACACUUAUCCCUGUAUGAAAGAGUUAGAUAAAUGUUCUCAAUUAUACAUGCAAUGAUAGAUACUCAAUCUCAUAUUCCAUUCUAUAAUCAACACUGAUGAUUGCUAAUCCCUUCCCAAUGGUAAAAAUAUAAAUAACGAUACCUGGAAUACUUCCCGGUUAAAAUGCUACAUCGGUAUUAAUCUAUGCGCUUGCAGAUCCCAUUUGUUAUUUAUUUAGAAGAGCAAUUGCAUAUUUCAAUACCGCGUCUCUCAUGUCAUGCUGGGGAUGACAACUUGGCUUAAGUGGUAUGAGAGAUAGGUUUGGCAUUUUUGGCACCGUUAUCAGAAUUAGAAAACUAAGUCUACUUUUGGUAAUGAUGUUAAGAAUACCCAACAGAUGGUAGCUAAAAUUUUUGAAUAAAUUCUCCAAGCAACAAUGAUAUCAAGAAUAAGAUACUGAAACUCUACCAUCUCACAUUCCACAAUGUCUUAAGUAACACAGGUUUUUUAAAUGAUUCUUAAUAAUUUCAGAUUUUCAGAAAAUAUCGCAGAGUGAGAUUAAUCAUGAUUAGAAACAUUUUAAUCUUUUUUAAUUUAUCAUGUCGGAGACAAUAUUCUACAUAAUCUAAGAUGUAUGUGUAUGUGUAAAGUGUGCAGAGUAUGUACCUGAAUCAUGGAGUGGUGUAGUUGAAGUACGUUUGGCAUGUCGAGGGAUCUCCCCCAUACUUGUUUUCUGCUUUCUUGCAUAAAAAUAAAGUAGAGACACACAAGACAUAAUAAUAAUAAUAAUCUUUAUUAAUCUCGAGGCAUUUAUUACAAAUGACUAGUAAUGUACUGAAGCUAAUAAUAGAUCUAAACUAAAUUUAAAGAUAAAUAACUAAGAUCCACUGCCUCAAGAUCUAAUCUAGAUAACUUAGCGGUGCUCUAACUCCCUAAUCUUAUUAUUGGCACUAGCAAGAUCAUGCCUAAGACCUAGUAUAAUGGUGUUCUGGUUAGAGAGCUGCCUAGUGAUAGAGUUAACCAAGGACUAGAGCUCUAUGAUGACCGUGUCUAGCCUACGAACGUCCUCAUCAAUAUCUACUAUAGUCUUGCGACGCUUAGGAGGUGUCUCAAAAGCAUUGAGAGCGUGCUUCGGGGCUGCCUUUGGAUGGAUGAAACGGACUUUGGCUGCUCUAAUACCCUCAAAGUAAGGUCUCUCUUCCUCUGUAGUGUAGCAGAUGCUGCUGAUCUCGCCGCUCCGGUUGGUCUUGACUCCAACGACCCUCUCAUUGGGUCUGGGUGGAAGGAUCCUUGUGCCGAUUGGCACCUUGACGGUGGUCUCCUUCUUGGCUGAUGGUCCUUUGAGAACUAGGGGCUGCGGUGGUGCGGUGAGAACUGGUUGAGCAUGGUAGGAUUGGGUGGAGCUGCGCUGGCGUAAUGGCAUGGCUUCUAGCUGUCGCUCUGUGUUGGCCGGGACGAGAGCGUAGGCGUCGGGGUCUUCCUUGGACUUCUUGUUGAGGUCGUAGGGGACGACUUCCCAAUCGUCGUGGAACUCUUCGGCCAUUGGAGCAACGAGGAACUAAGCAAGCUCUAAUAGAAGAAGAAGAGAAGGCUUAAAUAGAUUGGUGUUUGAAAACUGACGUCAGGGGUCUGUUUAUAUAGGGGUCAAAAAGUGCCUCUAGGGUUUGCUCGGGCUACUCCCGCCACCGUGCGUGCGAAACUUUCCAUCUGUAGGAUUAUUUGGAUUACUAUAAAUGUGUUUAUCGCGACGGAGGAAAUCGGGACUGAGAGGGGACAGGGGCUAGGCGCCCGCCCUCUUCAUCAGGGCACCCGCCCUGUGUCUGGCCCCUCUGUGGGACCGCUUCCUCGAGCGUGCUUCUAGAUGCAAACUUUAUUAGGAAAAUAUAUUCAUGGCCCUAAAACGUCAGAUUAAAAAGGUUGGGCUCUAAAUCUCCAUGGGAAGGUAGAAAUGGAUCACGUCUAUCUCUUCUAAUUCUUUAUUGGGCUCUAAAAAUAAUUUAAGAUGUUGACCAUUUACCUUGAAUAACGUACCUUCGUCAUUUUGAAGAGUGAUAGCUCUGUGGGAUGAUGAAUUGAUUACCUUGAAUGGUCCUUCCCAUUUACUCCGGAGUUUAACAUGCCCGAAAAGCUUCACCCUGGAAUUAAAAAGUAAUACCUUAUCUCCGGGUGCGAACUCCUUCUUCUUGAUCCUUUUUGUCAUGCCACCUUUUGACUCUUUCUUUGUACAUCUUCGAGUUGUGAUAUGCUUUCUCUCGCCAUUCUUGCAAUUCUGAUAGUUGCAUUCUUCUAUGGUCUCCAGCGACAUCUCGGUCCAUAUUCCAUCUCCUUAUGGCCUAGUGUGCUUUGAACUCUAAUUCAACAGGUAGGUGGCAAGUAUUCCAGUACACCAAUUGGUAUGGGGACAUUCCAAUUGGGGUCUUGUGUGCUGUCCGGUAUGCCCAGAGUGCAUCGGGUGACUUGUCUUUCCAUGCCGUUCCCAAUUCAUUGACUGUCUUCUGAAGAAUAUUCUUGAUUUGCUUGUUGGAAGUCUCUGCUUGGCCACUUGUCUGAGGACGGUAGGGGGUAGCGACUAUUGACGGUCCUUAAGUACCAAAUUUAAUUAUCAAAUAAACGAAGAAAAGGAUCCAAAUACAACCAACACCAAGACUUAGGGUUUUAUCUGAUAGAAUUCCACGAGUUUUGGUGGUUGUCUAUUUCUGCAGGGGUGAAGGGUCGAGAUGGCGGACUAGAGCGGGAGUGAAUAGUCCUUUCUAAAACUUAUCGCGCCGGCUAACCGAAACAAAUGCGGAAUUAAAACUAUCGGUCUAGCCAAGACUACACCCCUCUAUCUAAGUUCUCUAGCACCUUGAAAAGAUCCUAAACAAGCAAGCAAGGUGCUACAUUAGCAAGAGCUCACCUAAUCAAUUCUAGGAGCAAGGUCACACAAACCUAUGCAACUAGUACUUUGCAAACCGGGGGAGCUCCUACACAAACUAGUGAGGCAAAGCGCACAAAGCCUAAGCUCACUAGCAAGCUCAAUAACAAGGCAACUAAUGCCAAAUUAGAGAGCGCAACUUACUUAGCUACACAAACUAAGCAAUGUGACUAACAAAGUUACACAAACCAAAUUAGUCACGCAAGGGAGAUACUUCUAGCUACACAAGCAAGAAGGUAACUAGCAAGCUACACAAGCUAACUAAUUACAAGAGCAACUACACAAGCAUAAGUAUGAAUGUAAGAACAAGCUUGUGUUAGGGACUUGCAAACCAACGGGAAGAACAAUGUUGACACGAAGAUUUUCUCCCGAGGUUCACUUGGUUGCCACCAAGCUACGUCCCCGUUGUGUCGACCAACACUUGGUGGUUCGGCGGCUAAGAGGUGUUACACGAACCUCGUCCCCACUAGGACACCGCAAGAACCUACCCACAAGUGAGGUAGCUCUAUGACACGCACGAUCCAAUAGAGUUGCUCUUCGUGAUCCCCGCGGGGUGAGCAUCGUACCCCUCACAAUCUCUUCUCCGGAGCACCGCACAAUCUCCUUGUGUGCUUCGACGGAGUCACAAGCCACCAAGCCGUCUAGGAGAUGGCAACCUCCAAGAGUAACAAGCACCACCGGCUUGCAACACGAACACCUAGUGCCACUCGAUGCAAUCUCUCAAUGCAACGUACUAGAAUCGCUCACUCACACAAUCGGAUGAUCACUAUCAAGCAUACGUGAGUUAGAGGCUUUACUAGCACUCCCCAAGCAUGGACACUAAGUCCCAACGGUGCUCAGCGCCAGCCAAGGCCGGCCACCACUUCUAUUUAUAGCCGCAAGGGCUAAACUAGCCGUUGCCCCUUCACUGGGCAAAAGUCGUGAGCACCGGACUCACUAUAGGUAGCACCGGACGCUAGAACAGUGCGUCCUGUGCUCCAAAAACAACCACGUGUCACUAGCCGUUUGAACUUGACCGUUGCCGCCAACGGCUAGCACACACACGCGCGUCUGGAACAGUAGCACCGGACGCUCUGCUGCUUCACACCGGACGCGCCCUGUGCGCACCGGACUCACACGCAGAGAGCAACGCAAACUUGCAGCAGCACCGGACUCUCAGCGUUCUGUGACACCGGACUGUCCUGUGCGCACCGGACUCACACGCAGAGAGCAACGCAAACUUGCAGCAGCACUGGACUCUCAGCGUCCUGUGACACCGGACUGUCCUGUGCGCACCGGACUCUCAGUGUCCUGUGCCACCGGACUGUCCUGUGCGCACCGGACUCUCAGUGUCCUGUGUCUGCAGUUCAACUUGUUAGGUUGCUAACUUCUAGCUCCGAACUCCAAAUUCGAUGAUCUUGGACAUUUUGGAAAGCUUACUUAGAGUACUAUCCAAUAUAUAUGAAUACUCAAUCCAAAUCAAAAUGGAUCAAAGCAGUAUUCCAAUCUAAAAGCCAUCCUAAUGUCCGGAGAAUACCGAAAGACUUCUCUCUCUUCUCCAAGUUGAACAAAAUCAACUUCAACACCUUCUCCUUUGCAAAUGUGCCAACACUACCAAGUGUACACCACCAUGUGUAAGUGUGUUAGCAUUUUCACAAAUAUUUUCCCAAAGGAGUUAGCCUCUCAACUUGCCACGCCACUCGAUCCUAACACGUAUGCAAAGUUAGAUCGCUCAAGUGGCACUAGAUGACCGAUAUGCAAACAAGUUUGCCCCUCUUGAUAGUACGGCCAUCUAUCCUAAAUCCGGUCAUAAACUUCUCUACACACCUAUGACCGGUGAAAUGGAAAAGCCCUAGGUUAUACCUUUGCCUUGCGCUUUCCAUUCCAUCUCCUCCAAUGUUGAUGCAACACAUGCACCAACCAAUCACCAAAUGAUAUGAUCCACUUCAUAUCAUCACGCGACCGUAUUGGUUCAUUGAUCUUGACCUCACUUGCUCUUCACCGUUGCCUCGGUCCAUCGGCGCCAAGUCUUGCUCAAGCUUCACCGUCACACGCGGUCCCUCGCUUCAAAGCCUCCGACUUGUCCUUCACUCUUGCAACCGGUCCAUCAAACCAAGCCUCAUCUUGAUCUUCUCCACCUUGGUCACAUGACUCCAUGUCAUGUCUCAUGUGCAAUGAGCUCCUUCAUCAUCACAUCAUCACCUGUGGACUAAUCUCCUGUGUAUCUCACAUAAACACUAUUAGUCCACCUAAGUUGUCACUCAAUUACCAAAACCAAACAAGGACCUUUCAAGGGGGUUAUCAGGAAAUAUGGAGGAAAGGCCCACAUGUCGGGUUUAUAUAGAGAUAUUAACGUGCCACGCAAUUUUCUAUCAUCUAGAAGACUCCACCAGCCACGGGAACAAACGGGAAGCCGAGCGGGCUCAGGGAUAGGGCGCCCGCCCUACUUUUUCCACAAAUCAGGCUCCGCUUCGAGGAUUAUGCUCCACCGCCUUUGAGGAUCAAGGAAAACCGUGUGAUUAAGGUCGGUUUGAUCCGACGGCCCAGAUUCACUUGAGGGGACUAUAUAAGCAGAUCCCUUGGCCCCUGGAGGAGACAACCCCUUGAUCCCUAUUCAUUAUUCAUAAACAGAGCAAAAGCUAGGGUUUGGAGAUGAGAGCUCUCCUCUCUUCUCUAAACUAGAGUAGAUCUAGAUAGUAGCGAGAUGGAGAGCGAGGGAGGAUUGGAGGAGAGGCCAGCCUGUCGGUUCUUCCUCUGGUUGUACUUCGCCAUGAUCAAGCUCUAAUCAAGCUUGCUCAUGGGAUGACUCUGGUAAUUGUAACGUCCCGCCUCCACGAGGCCGGACCCGCUUACAUCUGGCAGCUUUUGUAGGAUAUAGUCAGCCCCCACAGACCAACACUAGUCUUUUCUACACACUUUGUCCUCACUCGUGCGCACCCAAGAACUACUUCCCGAUCGGUCACCCAUCCCUAAAUUGCUCCAGGCUAAGCACGCUUAACUUUAGAGUUCUUUAGAGAUGGGCUUCCGGAAAAGAAGUUGCAACUUGUUGGUAUGAAUCUCCUAGUAAUCCUAUUAAGCCCUGGGCCGGGUGUUACAUCCUCACCCCCUAAAGAGAUCGACGUCCUUGUCGAUCAACCCCAAGCCAGGAACGUCCCCUCUUGGCCACGUCCGUGCAUCCAGUGCCAGCGCAUGUGCCAUGCUGUGUGACCACUCUGGGUCCACACCAGCCAUGCACACCAUGCCUGCGCAACUGUGACACACGCGCCCGUGAAACCGCGAGAGUCGGAUCUGAUACCAUUCUAUAACGUCCCGCCUCCACGAGGCCAGGCCCGCUUACAUCUGGCAGCUUUUCCGGGACAUAGUCAGCCCCCACAAACCAACACUAGUCUUUUCUGCACACUUUGUCCUCACUCAUGCGCACCCGGGAAGUACUUCCCAGUCGGUCACCUAUCCCUAAAUUGCUCCAGGCCAAGCACGCUUAACUUUAGAGUUCUUUGGAGAUGGGCUUCCGGAAAAGAUGUUGCAACUUGUUGGUAUGAGUCUCCAAUUAAUCCUAUUAAGCCCUGGGCCGGGUGUUACAUAAAAAAAAAGGCGCACGGCCAAGACUCAAACUCACAACGACCUGCCUCGGCCCACGAGAAGCCAACCAACUGAGCUAAUGUCCCGCCUCCACGAGGCCGGGCCCGCUUACAUCUGGCAGCUUUUCUAGGAUAUAGUCAGCCCCCACAGACCAACACUAGUCUUUUCUGCACACUUUGUCCUCACUCGUGCGCACCUGAGAACUACUUUUCGGUCGGUCACCCAUCCCUAAAUUGCUCCAAGCCAAGCACGCUUAACUUUAGAGCUCUUUGGAGAUGGGCUUCCGGAAAAGAAGUUGCAACUUGUUGGUAUGAGUCUCUUAUUAAUCCUAUUAAGCCCUGGGCCGGGUGUUACAGUAAUCUACUUCUAUUUCAUUAUGCAAUUACUAUCCAUGUAUGUUCUGGUUCAUGAGUACUUUAAUCUAUAGGACGCUAUAGGUGAGACUUGUAGUAUAGGUGUAAGCGUGGUGCUUAGACAUAGAUUACUUGUGGAUAUCCCCUGUGUGGUAGGCCACGUAGGUGACAGCUAUGUUGGUCCCCUGUAGUCCACCUCCCAUUAGCAGAACUGGUAGGGUUUAUCAGCCUAUGGAUAAGCAUCCUUUGUGGUGUAUUCUUAUCACGUGGUUCGUCCUAGACAUAGACAUACCCCUUUGAAGUAGAGAAACCAUAGUUAUCCUCUCUAUUCUCCUACCAUCACCCAUAUGUUAGAUUGCUCUACUCUCUAUUCCCAUAUUAUCACCCAUUGUUAUCUUACCUUCAAUAUUGUUCUUAUUCAAUUCUAUCAUAUUUCCUAUUUACACCUACCUAUCUAUCUAGGUUAAGUUAGGGCGUGGAUUAGUUCUCCCGUUUCCCUAUGGAUACGAUAAAACCUUUAACCGGGUAAAAGCUACAACGGUAUCCGUGCGCUUGCGGAUUUAUCUGUGUGCGUAUAAAUACCAUAGUACACUCAAGUGCCAUGCUGGGGAUGACAACCUAGUAUUCAAGUGGUGUUAGCAAGUGUCAACAAGCAUUUUUGGCGCCGUUGCCGGGGAAACGGUUGCUGAGUUGACUACAAACUAGCUUAAUCAUUUUCUAAAAAAAUUAAAAAUAUAUAUAUAUAUACUUUUCCUUUUAUCUUUUGCCUUAUCUCUGCUAUUCUUUCUUCUUAUCUAAUCCUUGAUCUCUGGUCUAUCAUGAAUUCAAACAUGUCUAUCUAUGAAUUUAAUAGACCUACGGGCACACAUCUCGAACCACCAAAAUCUUCAAAGGCUAUCAUAGCAUCUAGUUUUGAGAUAAGCCUGGAAUACAUAGAAUUUCUUCAAAAACAACCUUUCUCAGGAGAAGGUGAGGAAAACCCAUACACACACCUAAGAGAGUUUUAUCGAGCUGUGACCUCCUUCACAUUGAAGGCAUGUCUGAUCAGACCAUUAAAUGGAAGCUCUUUCCGUUCUCUUUAACGAGAAAAGCUAGACAUUGGUAUAAACUCAACAUAGGAAGUGCUCAUGGAGAUUGGAAGGAGCUAUACAAUAGUUUUCUCUCUAAAUAUUUUCCGAUCUCCAAGGUGGCGGAUCUUCAGAUCGAGAUUCUAUCUUUUAGACAACUAGAAGAAGAAUCUCUUGGCGAAUCAUGGGACCACUUUAUUGACCUUACUCUCACUGGCCCAAAGCUCUCUAUUCCAAGAGAAGUUCUUCUAAUUCACUUUUUUAAGGGCCUUCCUAGGCAAAAUAAGCAAACCCUUCAUGCGGCCUCUAGAGGAUCUUUCCACCACCUGUCCGCUAGUGAAGCUUGGAAUUUGAUUGAUUUAAUGAGCGGAAAGUCUCCUAGCAUUUAUAUCCCUAAAAAAGAGAAAGAAUCAGUUCCUAGACAAGAAGAAGAAGUUUUGAUAGCCAGAUCACAACCACUUCAAUCCCAAACUCUAGCUAUCGAUCCUAACCCAUCAAUACCCCAAAAUUCUCUAAGGGAGGAAGGAAUUCCAACCUUAAAAUUUUCAGAUGCUGAUGGUUUAGACUUUUGGUUCCAUAAGAGACCUUCAAGCAGGGAUAAUUCAAAUCCUUGCAAUAAUGGUUCUCUUAGAGAAUGUCCUGGUUCCUAUUAUGAAGAAGUCGAUGAUGACAUAUCAAGUGAAGGAGAGCUAAACCAUAUAGAAAAUUCUAUCUACUUCCCUUCAAUGUUCACAAAUUCUUAAUCCAUCCUUGACCUUAGAGACCCCUCUUAUCCCUCUCCUUUUCAGUCUCAUGAUGAUCCUAGCAAUCCAUCAAUACGAUCAUACCAUAGGAGUCAUAAAAACCAUGAGGAUGACUUGUUAAGUAAUGCCAUAGAAGGAGAGCUAAGCCAUAUAGAGGAUUCUAUCAGCUCCCUUGUCUUGAUCACAAAUUCUAAAUGGCUAGAAUGUAUAGAGUGGAAGGACAAGGAAGAUGCCUUAAUGGAUUCUAACCUUGGCUCAAUUUCAGACGUUGAGUCUAUAACUCCCCUUGAAUAUGAGAUUCAUCCUUCUACAGAAGAGGACAUAGACGGGACCAAUCCAAGAGAAACUGUGAACAUUCAAAUUAGAGACGAAGAUAACAUUAAUGAGCAUGGAAUUUAUUUCAAACCCACUUCGUUUACUCCAUGCUCAUAUGUAACAUCUUCCCAAUCUAUUGGUCUCUCCAACAUCACCACAUUUGAGAUCUCCAACCCCCUCUUCCUUUCUACAUACAAAAAAUUUAAAAGGGCGGUUGUCGAUGCAUAUGUCUAUAAUAAAUAUUGUAGAUCUCGUUGAGCUAAUCUUGAUAUACAAAGGUUGGCGUCGGAGGGGAAACCACCUCGCCAACAUAAACUUGACAGUUUCCAAAGGACAAGCUUAGUGUCCUAAAAUAAGCACUGAUCAGAUCAUAACAUGAGCUUUUAAUUAUUUACAAAAUUACCUUGUGUAUUGAGCAUAUAAGGAUAAUUGUAAAAAUAUUCCUUCCGGUAUCCUGGUCACUAACCUUUCCAGGAUUGGAGCAAAAAGAUCGGAUGAAUGACAAGCACAAGGUAUGUCCAACCAAUCAUCAUACAACAUUGAAUUAAAUUCAUCCAAACUUGAAUUUUACAAAAUUCAAGCUUGGGGGAGUACUUUACAUAAAAACAUCCUUUGCCAUGUUGCUAUGUUGGUUGUCCGUACCUUUGAGACAUGCUCAAUUUGUUAAAUACUAAUCACACUACUUCAUCUCCACUUGAGUAGAUCUCUAUAAAUGCUCUCAUGCUACCUUUAUUUGCUUUAGUAUAUGUCUAGGUUUGGAGUAGUUUCAUUUAUCUCUUAAAUAAGCAUGGUGCUUAGUUUAGGAAUGAUGAUCUUACUUCCAAGGGAUUUUAAAUUAAGCAUGGUGCUUAGGUUAAAAUGCCCUCCUAAAUCAAAUUAGACAUGGUGUCUAGGUUGAUUUUUGAGCCGAUAGUAUGCUAUAGUAGAUAUUGGAUAUUUUGUUGGACUAACCCCUGCAGGAAAACUUUCGAUAUCGACCUGGGAAGUCCUGAGAUAAACUCACAUUGGAGACAAAGAGAGAGACAUAUGAAGUUUAACAAUUUACACAAGGAAGACAUAGCUCAUAAGAGAUGAUCCAUGGAGGGUGCCACAACCACGAUGCACAACCGCUAAGAAAGGAAAGCUUCCACAAGGUGAUACUGUACCAUCACUUUUCAAGUAAGGUAACAUAUUAAGGUACUUGACUAUCACUUUUAUAAGCUUCUCCUUGAUUCUGGCGUUCAUAUGAAUAAAAGAGACAAACAUGUAUGAUUUACAACUCUAGGUUAACCAACCCAUUCGAUUCAACAUGUUUAGUCCUUCCACCUUUGUGAUCCCACACUCCUAAUUAUAUGAGCUAAAAUGUUGCACACUCAAUCUUUGGAAGAUAUAAAAAAAAUAGAUAGAUUAUCUUUCCAUUAGGUUGAGCGAUCUGAUCUCACAAAUGUUUUAAAUGCUACACGCAUGAUCUUAUUAUCCAUCAACUUUGUCUUGCUCACUAUGCUUAAGGUUAGAGAAGAAUAAAUAUACUUUUGGUGUUGUUGGUGUUUUCCACCAACAGGACCUAUGCACUUGAUCUCUGCCUUGUCUCUAUGAGCAGGUACACUUGGAACAAAACAUGGUGGAGUUUUACAACUCCCAGAUUCCACCAAGUGAAGGACCUGGAUCUACGAGCACAAACACACUGAGCAAGAUACUGCCAAUGCCGCACUUCGAACUGCUGGGCAAACAAAGAACAUGGGUGACACCGUAUCAAGAGGUGCAGACGUCAAGGUCCACACCUGAAUCAAAUGACGCACCUAAAGAAUGAACACGGUGAGAAGUCUUGAUCAGAAGACUUAAAACAUUGAACCCUCGCCGAAAGGUAAAAUCGGUAGUUAUCCAUAUUUAUCCUUUCUGCAUUCUGUUUUCCCUUAAAAUUAUUUACUUUCCUUAAAUGACUUGUUAGUUAAUCAUGCUAUCUUGAAAAGAAAAUAAAAAUGUUAAAAACAGUAAGCCCCAUGUGAGUAUGCUCGUGGCAUAAAACCCAUAAGUACAUUCAUUGUGGUGGCGUAAAAAUAAAUAAAAUAAAUAUAUUCCUGUCCUAUAGAAAUGAAAAUAUAAAAAUAAAUUUAUGAUCCUACCAAAGAGAGUAAUAUUUAUUAGAGGAAGCUCAACAUGAUAAAGGCAAAGAGAAUUUUAUGCUAACACUUAACAAGUUCCACAAAGCUUUGUUGUCUAUUUGAGCUCCACAGAAUUCAAGGAUCAAAGAAGACUAGCAGACGGAGGACGUCCUAAUCGCUGUCAGGGUGCUGCCGACAUUCAAAUACACCUCCGCCACCUGCUAGGUACAUUAGAAGAAAUUACAUCAAAAUCCAGCUUGGGGGAGAGCACCCCCAUUUAUCUAGCUAAGUGUUUCUAUUCGCGUUUAUACUUUACUCAAAUAAUAAAAAUAUGCAUAAUCAUAAAAACCCAAAUAAAGAUUUUAUGCUUAUAUAUAUCUUUGCUUAGUUUGCUAAAUAAAUAAAUAAAGUUUGCUAUGAACCCUCAUGAUAAGCUCUCACAUGGAAAUGAUAAAAAGUUGCUCUACCAUGACUAGUUCUCAAAAUUAAAUUCUCUCUCAAGUUUAGGCAUGACUGUUAUGAAUUAAGAUUUGCUCUAAACCUAAACUUGUGGGAAGAGUGCCUGAUUAAAAGUCUAAGUCAUUAACGGAUAUGAUAUGGGAAGGUUGAGCUGCUGUUUAUCUGUUCCUAGAGAUGCUAGAAUUCUGGAGAAUUUUAUCUUUGAACAUCUUUAAAAUGUUGCAUGAUGAGUUCCUGUAUGAUGAGAGUUUAAAAUCCUACCACAGCCAUAUAUACAUGCUUAUUAGACUAUGAACCAUACAUUUACUUUUUACUGCUUAUGAGCAUUGAGUGUGGUCAAGCUAUGUAGACCCUUAGGAGCUUGUCAUGCGGUUAAAAUCAAGAUUCACUUGCACGUUCACUCAUACAUGCUGCUUCUACUCCGAAAGUACGCAUCCACAUACAUCCACUCAUUUCCAUCUCCAGAAUCACCCAAAAUUAUUCUACUCCUAUCCAGAAAGAGAAUAAGUAAAAACAUUAUCCUAUCCCUAUUAUUCUCCGUGAAAUAAAUGCUCGAGAUAUUUUGGUUACUACCACUGGCUACAUUAUUCCAGGAGGUUGAGUGCUUUGAAAAAAAAAUAAUAUGAGGAAAUAAAAAGGGGCAAGUGCCCGGAACCUCGAAGAAAAGAAAAAGUGAGACGAGAGGUAAAAAUGGACAAGUGUCCGAUAGUAGAAUUAGGGGUACAAGAUACCCACCUGAGAGAAAAAAAAGAAAAUAUAGAGCAUCUCAUUCCCCUCAAAAAGCUUCAAAGUGCAAGAAAGGUAUGUAUCCCCUCAAAAGAGCAAAAGUAGAAUUAGACUUUCACCAUUGCUUUCACCAUUGUUUUCACCAUCAUCACCAUACACCAUUCAUUCGCUACACAUGCACAUAUUGAUUUGACUUAUUGACUUGUUUCUCUGGAUCCAUGGUUUGACUAUGCAAUAAAUGUCUUGUAAGUAUGUAUUAGCUGUCUCCCUCCUAUGAGCUCCAGAUAUCAAAACCUUAUUAGAGUAGAGUGAGAGAGAAGGCAAUGUCACUAUGCCUCAUACCAAAAAUACCACAUACUUUGAGAGAAGGCAUACGCCAUCAUUGCCUUGGUAAGGAUCUAGAAAUACCAC